rnacentral:lncRNA from 1 species
CUACUCUAAUAAGGCUUUUAUAUCUGGAGCUCUUAGGUGGGAGAUAAAGUAUACAUACUUAGAAGACAUUUAUUGCAUAGUCAAACCAUGGAUCCAAAGAAACAAAUCAAUAAGUCAAAUCAUGAUGUGCAUGUGUGGCGAAUGAAUGGUGUAUGGUGAUGAUGGUGAUAACAAUGGUGAAAACAAUGGUGGUGGAAGUCUAAUUCUACUUUUGCUCUUUGAGGGGAUAUAUACCUUCCUUGCUUUUGAAACUUUAUGAGGAGAAUGAGAUGCUCUUCUUUUUCCUUUCUUUUCUCUCAGGUGGGUAUCUUGUACCCCUAAUUCUACUGUCGGACACUUGUCCAUUUUUACCUCUCGUCUCACUUUUUCUUUCGAGGUUCUGAGCACUUGCUCCUUUUUAUUUCCUCGUAUUAUUAUUUCUUUCUUUUUUUAGAGCACUCAUCUCUUGAGAUAAUAUAGCAAGUGGUAGUAACAAGAUAACUUGAGCAUUUAUUUCACAAGGGAAAAACAGAAAUAUUUUUGGUUAUUCACUCCCGGAUUAGGAGUAGAAUAUUUUUUGGGUGAUUCUGGAGAUGGAAAUGGAUGGAUAUAUGUGGAUGGUACUUCCGGAAUAGAAGUAGCAUAUAUGAGUGAACGUGCAAGUGAAAUCUUGAUUUAACCACAUGACAAGCUCCUAAGGGUCUACACAGCUUGACCACACUCAAUGCUCAUAAGUAGUAAAUAUUAAAUGUGUGGCUCAAAGUCUAGCAAGCAUGUAUAUAUGGCUGUGGUAGGAAUUUAAACUCUCAUCAUACAGGAACUCAUCAUGCAACAUUUUAAAGAUUUUUAAAGAUAAAAUUCUCCAGAAUUCUAGCAUCUCUAGGAACAGAUAAACAGCAGCUCAACCUUCCCAUAUCGUAUCCGUUAACAACUUAGACUUCAGAUCAAGUUUUCAUCCCACAAGUUUAGGUCUAGAGCAAGCUUUAAAUUAUAACAGUUAUAUCUAAACUUGAGAGAGAACUUAAAAUGUGCAAAUUAGGCAGAGCAACUAUUCAUCAUAUCCAUGCUUAAAUUUUAUUUAGAUACAGAUUAGCAUAGCCACUUUAUUUAUUUAUUAAACACACUAAGCAAAUGAGAUAUAUAUAUAUAUAUAUCAUUUGCUUAGUGUGUUUAUUUGGUUUUCCAUAGUUUAUGUGUAUUUAUAUUCUAAAAUAAUAUAAGUAUAAAGAUAGAUAGAAAUACUUAUCGAGAUAAAUGGGGGUGCUCUCCCCCAAGCUGAAUUUUGACGUAAUUUCUCUUGAUGUAGCUAGCAGGUGGUAGAGGUGUAUUUGAAAGUCAGCAGCAUUCUGACAGCGAUUAGAAUGUCCUCCGUCUGCCAGUCUUCUUGAUUCUUAAAUUCUGUGGAGCUCAAAUAGACAACAAAGCUUGUGGAAGUGGUUAAGUGUUAGCAUAAAUAUCUAGCCUUUAUCAUGUUGAGACUCCUUAAUAAAUAUUACUCCCUGUUUUUAUAUUUUCGUUUUUAUAGAGCAGAAAAAAAAUAUUUAUUUUAUUUUUAUGCCACCACAGUGAAUGUACUUAUGGAUUUUAUGCCACUCGUCUACUCACAUGGGGCUUACUGUUUUUCACAUUUUUAUUUUCUUUUUAGGAUAGCAUGAACAUAAUUAACUAAGUAAACUAGUUGAAAUAAUUGAAAGGGAAAGGAUAACUACCAAGUUUACCUCUUGGCAAGGCGUUCGGUGUUUUUAAGUCCUUCGAACAGGACUCUCCAUUUUCUUAAUCGUCCUGAGGUUCGUUGGGUGCCGUAGUCGGUACUUCCGGCAGCGCCUCCUCUUCAUGUAUAGUUAUCUUCAUUUUCCACACCUGACUUGGUGCUUCCGUCUCCUCUGGAUAAUUCUGUUUAAACUCAACGUCUUCUGACCUUACAACUUCUCCUUCAUAGUCUGCCCAUCCGUCCUUGAUGAUCUGCCUCCUCUGGUUGCGGUUGCGUCUCUUUCUGACCUACUUAGAUUCUUCAACGAUAUAGUUAGGGUCAGUAAAAUAACGGCGUACCAUCUCUGAGGGGAAGUGCAUAUGGACUUCUCCGGUUCCAAUGUAGAUAAUUGCUUUAACGGUGCUGAGGAAUGGUCUUCCAAGGAUGAUGGGUGGAUCAUACUCGUCUUCUCCCAUGUCAAUAACUUGAAAGUCUGUGUAGACAAAGUGAUCGUCUAUUUUGACUGGGACAUCAGUUACUAUUCCCUUGACUUCUCGAAAUGUCUGAUCUGCCAUCUGGAGUUGAAUGUAUGUUGGUCUUAGUGGCAUGGUUCCGAACAAGAGCCGAUAGGUGACUGCGGCCAUUAUGUUGACGCCCGAUCCGGUGUCACAAAACGUCUUGUAGAAGUUGUAUCCAUUUAUUGAGCAAUAGAUGCUUGGCAUUCCUGGGUCGUCCUUCUUGGUCAAAAGCGGUGACUUAAGGUGGUGAUCUUGGCCUCCAUGAACUACAGUGACCAUCUUAGCUGACUCGGUCCACACUUGCUUGUUCCUGUUCCUCCUGUUGGUCCUCUUCCUUGACUCACGUCUGGAUUGAUUUGGAAUUUGUGUAGUCUUGUUCUUGAAGAAAAAUGUCUCCUUCUUCCCUUUGACGUAGAAACUGAUCUUGGCAGCACUGGCGUAGAUGAUAGCUCCCGUGGUGUUUAAGAAUGGCCUCCCUAGGAUGAUAGGUGCUCUCUCAUCAUUUCCGGUCUCUACCACUACGAAGUCUGCUGGGGCAUAUAAGGUACCAACUCGGACACAAAGGUUCCUCAAUAUUCCUUUUGGAAAAGUUAUCGUCUGAUCUGCAAACUGCAAACACAUGGUUGUCUCUAAUAAAGGAUAUGUAAAGAAUUUUUCAUAGAGUACCCUGGGUAUAAUGUUGACACUGGAGCCAAAAUCACAGAGUGCUUCUGGGACGUCCACCAUGCCGAUGGAGAUCGGGAUGACGGGGCGUCCUGGAUCGCCUCUCUUGACCGGCAGAAGGUCAGUAGAGAAUUCAGUGACGGGGUUACUCCAAUUACCUGCAUCAAACAUGUCUACAAGAUUUGCAGAUUCUAAUCCUUUCGGUUGUGAUGGUAUACCGGGGUUAGUAGUAGGAACAGCAGCAGCUAUUUGAUUUAACUGAGAUUCAAUCAUUUUAUUAAAGCUAAUUUGAUUCUUGAUGGCAGUAGAGAAAUUAUCCAUUCUAUUAUUUAUAUUUUCUGACAUUUUAUCAUUAGAUGCCAAUUUCUUAGAUAGGUUUUCCAUUAGCUUUCCUUGAUUAGACACUAACUCUCUCAAAGGUGGAAAAUUAUUAUUGUUGUUGUAAGAAUUGUUACCUUGAUAAUUACCUGAGUAGUUAGGCCUCUGUUGAUUCCAACCUUGAUUUUGUUGAGGACGGUUGUAGUAGUAGUUGUUGUUGUUGAUGUAGUUCACGUCCUCAAGUAUCUCAGGGCAGUGAUUGCCUGAGUGUCCAGUAUCUCCACACUCCUCACAAGUCAUGUGAGAGUCGUAGAUGUGCAUAACUUCUUUCUUGUCUCCGGCUUUAUCGUCGAGCUUCUUCAAGAGCAGGUCUAGCUUUGCAGACAACAUGUCUACCUCCUUCAGUUGAUGCAUACCUCCACCUCUCUUGCGUGUCUGGGUCCUCUCUUCAUUCCAGCUUUGAUUGGACGCCAUCUUCUCCACAAGAGCUGUGGCUUGUGGUAUAGUAAGUGAUAAGAAUGCUCCUCCAGCUGCAGCAUCCAUGGUCUCUCGGGCACUGUUGCCGAGCCCAUGAUAAAACGUCUGCAUCAAUAGCCAACUCUCCAUUCCAUGAUGGGGACAUUCUAGGAUGUAGUCUUGAAAGCGCUCCCAUGCUUCUGGAACGGAUUCAUCAUUUUGUUGCUGAAAACUUGUAAUCUUCCCACGGAGAGCAUUGGUCUUGCCCAUGGGAAAGAACUUUGCUAGGAAGUUUGUCGAGCAGAGUGCCCACGUAGUAUUCUUCUCCUUUGUAGCGUAGAACCACUGCUUCGCUCUUCCUAACAGUGAGAAUGGGAAGAGGCGAAGUAGUAUAGCAUCUUUGGAAACUCCUGAUAUGGUGAAUGUGUUGCAAAUCUCCAGGAAGUGUUGUAAAUGAGCACUAGCAUCUUCGUGUGCCCUCCCACAGAACUGGUUGGAUUGCACCAUGUUGAUAAGUCCAGGCUUGAGCUCAAAGUUGCCAUCGAUCUCUGCAGCAGGUCCAGUGCGGAUGUUGUGCGUAGUGGGAGCUGAGAACUCGUGGAUUGAUUUGUUCGCCAUGGCCUCGAACUCUGAAGACAAGUUCCGGUGAUCUUCUUGAUUGGAUGAAGCUUCUUGCUGAAGUGUUGAUGAUCUCUUCUUGAGCGUGGCUCUCGUCUUCUUGAAUAAUGCUUCGGGAUUGUCAACAAAAUUUUCUGGAAGAUGUCUUCUACUCAUACAUUCCCCUGCAUAAGAUAAAAUAGAAAAAUAUCGGGGUAAAACUGUAUGAGAGAAUAGAUAAGCUCAAUCAUAUUAGUGAUGCGAAUGAUAACUCAAAAUCUUUUAUUCCAUUCCUGAUUAGUAAUCAACCUUCCCCGGCAACGGCGCCAAAAAUGCUUGUUGGGUAUUCUUCACAUCAUUACCAAAAGUAGACUAAGUUCUCUAAAUCUAGUAACGGUGCCAAAAAUGCCAAACCUAUCCCUCACACCACUUAAGCCAAGUUGUCAUCCCCAACAUGAUAUAAGAGACGCGGUAUUGAAAUAUGCAAUUGCUCUUCUAAAUAAAUAAUGAAUGGGAUCUGCAAGCGCACAGAUUAAUACCGAUGUAGCAUUUUAACCGGGAAGUAUUCCAGGUAUCGUUAUUUAUAUUUUUACCACUGGGAAGGGAUUAGCAAUCAUCAAUAUUGAUUACAGAAUAGAAUAUGAGAUUGAGCAUCUAUCAUUGCAUGUAUAAUUGAGAACAUUAUAUCUAACUCUUCAUACAGGGAUAAGUGUCACAUAAAAGAUAUAUGAAAUAAUAAUAGUGACAAGGAUAACUAAUCUGAUCUAGCCACAUAAUAAAUAUGAUAAGCACCUCAAUUAGAUACUCUAGAAAGUCAUUAGCAUGGUAUUAGAACGAACUACAAGAAUAUUCCCUAAGUUAUUCUUAACUAUAUAGUCUAGCAUAUCAUAGUUAGUGCAAGCAUACUUAGCAAUCAUUGCGAGACAAGACUACGCCCAUGCAUAGUGAUAUUAGCAAGGUAAAUGAGAAACAUAGCAAUCACUCCCCUGUAAUAUUGUUGCUCUGCCAGCCCAAUACACGAGAGGGGGACUAUAUAAGAAUCAAUGAAGCUGUCACUAUCAUGAACCACCCCACGAUCUGGCAUAUUGGGUACAAUCGCAGAUAAAUACGGUAUAAGCACCACGCCUACACAAUAUCUAUCAUUUACCCAUGGAUCCGAUGGAUAAAUGCUAUACGAUCCUAAGAAUGUAUAUAGAUCAAAUCUAACUAAGCCAAGUACAUAACUAUGAUAAACUAAGAACAAUAUAAUCUUGAAUAUAAGCAAGUAGAGCAAAGUCAUAAGCAAUAUAUUGAAGUAGAACAAAGUCAUAUUCAUAAUAUUGAAGAACAAAGAUAAUUAGAAAGUAAUUAGAAGCACAAUUAGAGAAUUACCAAGAAUCCUCUUGAUAGAUCCGGAAACCAAUCGAAGAUUGACUCCUUCUAGUUCUAAUCCUAUGUAGCUAUGCUAAUCUAGAUAUCUAAUUGAUGUGGUGGCUCUAAUCUUGAUCAGAGGCUUCUUCUCCCUUGAAGAACAAUGAAUUAGGGUUGAGAGGCUCUCUCCUCUAGGGGCCAGGGGGUCUGGUUUUAUAGUCCCUCCAAGUGAAUAUGGGCCAUUGGAUCAAACCGACAUAGAUUGUAUGGUUUAGAUUCAUCCUUUAGGUCGGUGGAGAUCUCUCGCAAAGCAGAGUCCUGAUUGGACUCAGAGGCAGGGCGGGCGCCCUGACCAACUGGACGGGCGCCCAGGGUCAGGCCCCGUUUCGCCUCCGCUUCGGUCUCGUGGCUUCUGGAGUCUUCUAGAUGUAAGAUAAUUGCGCGGUACGUUAAUAUCUCUAUGUAAUCCCGACGUGUGGGCCUUUCUUCCGUAUUUCCUGAUAACCCCCUGCAGAAAUAGACAAACACCAAAACUCGUGGAAUUCUGUCAGAUAAAACCCUAAGUCUAGAUCUUGAUUUCAUUUGGAUCCUUUUCUUUAAUUAUUUGAUAAUUAAAUUUGCUACUUAAGGACCGUCAACACAACCCAGUAAGUGUCACUUACCGGACUCACAGAGCGCGUCCGGUGCAGCGUCCGAUGCUAAGUCCGAUGACUCUGAGAACAGCGUUCGGUGAGUGUUUUUCCAGUGAAAAACACUCUCGUAACUUCUUCGGUGUAAUAGAAAAUAUGUGUUUCAUUUUCUAAAAAAAGCGCCGAAUCCCGCCUCGCAAGCUCGGUGGGAGGGAGAGAGGAACCCAAACCCCUCUCUACCCUAGGAACUCCACCUCCUUUGCAAAUAUGCUAACACCACCAAGAGACCACCACCAAUGUGCAAGUGUGUUAGCAUUUUCACAAACAUUUUCCCAAAGGAGUCAGCCUCUCAACUUGCCACGCCACUCGAUGCUAACAUGUAUGCAAAGUUAGAUCGCUCAAGUGGCGUUAGAUGACCGAUAUGCAAAAAAGUUUGCCCCUCUUGAUAGUAUGAUCAUCUAUCCUAAAUUCGGUCAUAAACUUCUCUACACACCUAUGACCGGUGAAAUGGAAAUACCCUAGGUUAUACCUUUGCCUUGCGCUUUCCAUUCCAUCUCCUCUAAUGUUGAUGCAACACAUGCACCAAACAAUCACCAAAUGAUAUGAUCCGCUUCAUAUCAUUACGUGACCAUAUUGGUUCAUCGAUCUUGACCUCACUUGCUCUUCACCUUUACCUUGGUCCAUCGGCGUGAAGUCUUGCUCAAGCUUUACCAUCACACGCGGUCCCUCGCUUCAAAGCCCCUGACUUGCCCUUCACUCUUGCAACUGGUCCAUCGAGCCAAGCCUCAUCUUGAUCUUCUCAAACUUGGUCACAUGACUCCAUGUCAUGUCUCAUAUGCAAUGAGUUCCUCCAUCAUCACAUAAUCACUUGUGGACUAAUCUCUUGUGUAUCUCACAUAAACACUAUUAGUUCACCUAAUUUGUCACUCAAUUACCAAAACCAAACAAGGACCUUUCAAUGGGUGGUGUAGGAAGAACAAGAUAGGGAGGAUUGACCCACAUUCCCAUGAUGUAGUACCACAAGAUUUGCCCAUCCAUGUAGACCUCAAGAUGAAAAACAAAAUCACCCUAGUUGAUGCCAUUGAAGAUGACUGGACACCAAGUGAUAGGAAUGGCACUAGGGCAAGUGAGACCAAGGGACGGCCUGAGACAAGCAAGGAGCUACUGGUGUGUGUGCGUGUGUGUGUUUGGCAAAGGGAAAGGAAGCAGAGUCGAGCAUACGCACCGAAGAGGGAGAUGGAGGUGCGGAGCCAAGCCUCAAAAUAGAGGCGACAGAGGAGAGACGGAGGCCCCCCGGAGUCCAACCCCUUUGCCGCGCACGCCAUGUGCCUCUACCUCCACAAGGUCCACGAGCACCAGACCCACGCCCAGGGCUCUAUUAGGCCUGGGGCAGCCUUGACGCCCUCGUGGGCCACCUCUGUUCCACCUUCAAGGAGAACGGAGGCCGCCCAGAGUCCAACAUGAAUCAUGUGGCCAUGGUGCCAAGAGGUCGAGUGUGGGCGAGGUCUGCGCGGCCGGGCGAGGAGGAGAGGCCGAGUGGCACACGCAUGGGUAAGCAGUGCUAGAGAGGAAGGGUGGUAGGUGUGUGUUGCAUGCGUGGCCAGGUCCACAAGGUUGGGCAGGCUCGAAUCACCGGCGGCUGAGAAGGUGAGGAUUGAAACCCUAGUUGGAUACCAUGUUAGAAUAAGUGACCAGCUGUUGACGGUCCUUAAUGCUCACAUUUAACCAUCAACUAAUCAUAAAAAAGGAUCUAAAUGGAACCAACAUCUAGAUUUAGGGUUUUAUCUGAUAGAAUUCCAUGAGUUUUGGUGUUUGUCUAUUUCUGCAGGGGGUUAUCAGGAAAUACGGAAGAAAGGCCCACACGUUGGGUUUACAUAGAGAUAUUAACGUGCCGCGCAAUUUUCUACCAUCUAGAAGACUCCAGAAGCCACGGGAACGAACGGGAGGCCGAUCGGGCCCGGGGGCAGGGCGCCCACCCUCCCCCCUUGGGUGCCCGCCCUGCUACAGUGCCCAAUCAGGGUUAACUUCGCGGAUCGUGCUCCACCGACUCUAAGGAUCGAGGAAAAUCACACGAUUAAGGUCGGUUUGAUCGGAUGGUGGAGAAUAACAUGGAAAUUCCUUGGGAGCUACUCUUCCUAGAUUUCUUGGGAGCUACUCUUCCUAGAUUUCUUGGGGGCUACUCUUCCUGGACUAUAUAAGCAGACCCCCACCAGCCCCUGGAGGCAUACCUCUUCUACAGAAUCAAAACUAGGGUUUAAAUUCUUCAUCCAAGUAGAGAGGAUCCCUCUAGUUCUUCUAGUUCUACCUCUAGUUCAUCUAGAUCUAGUUCUAGUUCAUCUAGUUCUAGUUCUAGUUCUUCUAGUUCUAGUUCUAGUUCUAGUUAGUUCUAGUUGUAAUCUAGAAAAUAGGGAGAGAGAAGAGGAGAGCGGAGGAGGAGCCGGAUCUGUCGGAUCUUCCUCAACAUUGUACUUUUGCAGCAACUGGUUCGUUCUUCAUCGUUCUCCAGGUUCUUCAAUUCAUAAUUCCUGAGUUCUUUAAUUACUUUUAUUUACAUUCAAGUUAUUUAUUGGAUUCCCGCUUGCAUCAAGUGCUCUAGUCUUAUAACGCUAGAGUAGUAAUUAAUAGAUUAGACGUGGUGUUUAGUCUUGCAGUUACCUGGAAUUGCACCCAAUCCUGUGGAUUGUUGUGGUAGCCUUAGGGUAGUGACAACCCUAACGGUCGACGUAUUCCACCUCAUUCGGAUCGGUGUUUGUAGGACCGUAGUCAGACCUUCCUAGCCCCCUUCUCAUCUCUUUCUGUGGUUAGUGCUCUGAUGUCCCGAUAUAGAUAAUCUUGAAGUAAUUCUUGAAUCUUAGAUCAACUAGAGAACUCUCAGGAAACUUCCUCUCUUCCCACCAAAAAUAAUUAUAUAGUUAUCCUUGGGCGAUCUUGAAUCUUAAUUAGUACACUCACGUUCUCUGUGGAAAAUCGAUACUCUAGAAUACUCCCGGGUAAAGGCUACAUCGGUAUCCGUGCGCUUGCGGAUUUUUCUGUUUGCGUUUAAAAUACCCAACAAGCUUUCUGGCGCCGUUGCCGGGGAGCGGUAGCUAUGCUAGUUUCGAACCAAGUUGUCCGUGUAUCCUUUUUCUUUUCCUUUUUUUACCACACUCACCUUACCAUUUUCACCAUACCACAUGGAUUUCACUCUAAGCAUUAAUGAGCAUGGAAUUUAUUUCAUAGCCGCUUCAUUUACUCCAUGCUCAUAUGCAACAUCUUCCCAAUCCAUUGGUUUUUCCAACAUCACCACAUUCGAGAUCUCCAACCCCCUCAUCCUUUCUAUUUAUAAAAACUUUAAAAGGGAGGUUGUCGAUGCAUAUGUCUAUAUUAAAUAUUGUAGAUCUCGUUGAGUUGAUCUUGAUAUAGGUCAGCGUUGGAGGGGAAACCACUUCGCCGACAUAAAUUGAUGGUUUCCCAAGGACAAGCUUAGUGUCCUAAAACAAGCAUUGAUCAGAUCGUAACAUGAGCUUUUAAUUAUUUACAACAUUACCUUGCGUGUUGAGCAUAUAAGGAUAAUUGUAAAAAAUUCCUUCGGGUAUUCUUGUCACUAACCUUUCCAGGAUUGGAGCAAGAAGAUCGGAUGAAUGACAAGCAUAAGGUAUGUCCAACCAAUCAUCAUAGAACAUUGAAUUAAAUUCAUCCAAAACUUGAAUUUUGCAAAAUUCAAGCUUGGGGGAGUACUUUACAUAAAAACAUCCUUUGCCCUGUUGCUAUGUUGGUUGUCCUUACCUUUAAGACAUGCUCAAUUUUGUUAAAUACUAAUCACACUACUUCAUCUCCACUUGAGUAGAUCUCUAUAAAUGCUUUCAUGCUACCUUUAUUUGCUUUAUUAUAUGUCUAGGAUUGGAGUAGUUUCAUUUAUCUCUUAAUUAAGCAUGGUGCUUAGUUUAGGAAUGAUGAUCUUACUUCCAAAGGAUUUUAAAUUAAGCAUGAUGCUUAGGUUAAAAUUCCCUCCUAAAUCAAAUUAGACAUGUUGUCUAGGUUGAUCUUUGAGCCGAUAGUAUGCUAUAGUAGAUAUUGGAUAUUUUGUUGGACUAACCCCUGCAGGAAAACUUUCAAUAUCGACCUGGGAAGUCCUGAGACAAACUCACAUUGGAGACAAAGAGAGAUGCACAUGAAGUUUAACAAUUUGCACGAGGAAGGCAUAGCUCAUAAGAGAUGAUCCAUGGAGGGUGCUACAAACACGAUGCACAACCGCUAAGAAAGGAAAGCUGCCACAAGGUGAUACUGUACCAUCACUCUUCAAGUAAGGUAACAUCUUAAGAUACUUCACUAUCACUUUUAUAAGCUUCUCCUUGGUUCUGGCGUUCACAUGAAUAAAAGAGACAAACAUGUAUGAUUUACAACUCUAGAUUAACCAACCCAAUUGAUUCAAUAUGUUUAGUCCUUCCACCUUUGUGAUUCCACACUCCUAAUCAUAUGAGCUAAAAUGUUGCACAUUCAAUAUUUGGAAGAUAUAAAUAAAACAUAAAUAUAGAUAGAUUAUCUUUCCAUUAGGUUGAGCGAUCUGAUAUGACAAAUGCUUUAAAUGUUACACUCAUGAUCUUAUUAUCCAACUUUGUCUUGCUCACUAUGCUUAAGGUUAGAGAGAACAAAUACACUUUAGGUUCUGUUGGUGUUUUCCACCAACAGGGCCCAUGCACUUGAUCUCUGCCUUGUCUCUAUGAGCAGGUACACUUCAAGCAAAAUAUGAAGGAGUUUUACAACUCCUAGACUCCACCAAGUGAUGAACCUAGAUCUACGAGCACAAACACACUAGAGAUACUGGACACUCAGGCAAUCACUGCCCUGAGAUGCUUGAGGACGUAACUACUGGAGUAACCCCAUUGUGGAAGUAAUUACUGACCUUCUGCCGGUCAAGAGAGACAAUCCAGGACGCCCCGUCAUCCCGAUCUCCAUCGGCAUGGUGGACUUCCUAGAAUCACUCUGUGACUUUGGCUCCAGCGUCAACAUUAUGCCCAGGCUUGCAGAUCGUACGCUAAGUUUCCCAAAGGGAAUAGUGAAGAACCUCUGCGUCCGAGUUGGUACCUUGUACGCCCGAGCAGACUUCGUGGUGAUAGAGACCGGUUCUGAUGAGAGGGCACCCAUCAUUCUAGGGAGGCCAUUCCUGAACACCUCGGGAGCAGUCAUCCACGCUAGUGCUGCCAAGAUCAGUUUCUACAUCAAGGGGAUGAAGGAGACGUUUUCCUUCAAAAACAAAACUACACAAAUCUCAGAGCAAUCCUGACAUGAACCAAGGAAAGGACCAACAGGAGGAACAGGAACAAGCAAGGGUGGACCGAGUCAGCUAAGAUGGUCACUGCAGUUCAAGGAGGUCAAGAUCAUCGACUUAAGUCACCAUUCUUGACCAAAAAAGGAUGACCUAGUCACCUAUCAGCUCCUAUUCAGAACCAUGCCCCUAAAACCGACAUACAUUCAGCUCCUGAUGGCAGAUCAGACAUUCUGAAAGAUUGAAGGUUAUUGAUAUGGGAGAAGACGAGUACGAUCCACCCAUCAUCCUUGGAAGGUCGUUCCUCAGCACCGUUAAAGCAAUCAUCUACAUUGAAACCGGAGAAGUCCACAUGCACUUCCUCUCUGAGAAGGUACGCUGCUAUUUUAAUGACCCUAACUAUAUAGUUGAGGACUCUAAGCAGGUCAGGACAAGAAGAAGACAAUGCAACCGCAACCAGAGGAGGCAAAUCAUCAAGGACGGAUGGGCAAACUACGAAGGAGAAGUAGUAAGGUCUGAAGACAUACAACUUGAACAGAACUAUCCUGAGGAGACCGUAGCACCGAGUCAGGUGUGCAGAGAGAAGAUAGUUAUACAUGAAGAGGAGGUGCCGCCGGAAGCACCGACUACGCCAUCCAGCGAAUCCUAGGACGACUCAGAAAACGGAGAGUCCCGUUCGGAGGACUUAAAAACACCGAACGCCUUGCCAAGAGGUAAACUUGGUAGUUAUCUUUUCCUUUCAAUUAUUUUAAAAUAGUUUGAUUAGUUAAUCAAGUUUAUAUCAACUUGAAAAGAAAAUAAAAAUGUUAAAAAUAGUAAGCCCCAUGUGAGUAUGCUCAUGGCAUAAAACCCAUAAGUACAUUCACUGUGGUGGCAUAAAAAUAAAAUAAAUAUAUUCUUGUCCUAUAAAAAUAAAAAUAUAAAAAUAAAUUUAUGAUCCUACUAAAGAGAGUAACAUUUAUUGAGGAGACUCAACAUGAUAAAGGCUAAAUAUUUAUGCUAACACUUAACUAGUUCCACAAAGCUUUGUUGUCUAUUUGAGCUCCACAGAAUUCAAGGAUCAAAGAAGUCUAGCAGACGGAGGACAUCCUAAUCGCUGUCAGAGUGCUGCCGACAUUCAAAUACACCUCCGCCACCUGCUAGCUACAUCAGAAGAAAUUAUGUCAAAAUCCAGCUUGGGGCAGAGCAACCCCAUUUAUCCAGCUAAGUGUUCUACUCACGUUUAUACUUUACUCGAAUAAUAAAAAGAUGCAUAAUCAUAAAAACCCAAAUAAAGAUUUUGUGCUUAUAUAUAUAUCUUUGCUUAGUUUGCUAAAUAAAUAAAUAAGUAAAGUUUGCUAUGAACCCUCAUGAUAAGCUCUCACAUGGAAAUGAUGAAUAGUUGCUCUGCCAUGUACCUAGUUUUCAGGUUUAAGCUUUCUCUCAAGUUUAGGCAUAACUGUUAUUAAUUAAGAUUUGCUCUAAACCUGAACUUGUGGGAAAAGUACUUGAUUUAAAGUCUAAGUUCUUAACGGAUAUGAUAUGCGAUGGUUGAGUUGUUGUUUAUCUGUUCCUAGAGAUGCUAGAAUUCUGGAGAAUUUUAUCUUUGAAAAUCUUUAAAAUGUUGCAUGAUGAGUUCCUGUAUGAUGAGAGUUUAAAAUCCUACCACAGCUAUAUAUACAUGCUUGCUAGACUUUGAGCCACACAUUUACUUUUUACCGCUUAUGAGCAUUGAGUGUCGUCAAGCUGUGUAGACCCUUAGGAGCUUGUCAUGUGGUUAAAAUCAAGAUUCACUUGCACGAUCACGCAUACAUGCUGCUUCUACUUCGGAAGUACGCAUCCACAUAUAUCCAUCCAUUUCCAUCUCCAGAACCACCCAAAAAUAUUCUACUCCUAAUCAGGGAGAGAAUAGCCAAAAACAUUUCUGUUUUCCCCUGUGAAAUAAAUGCUCAAGUUAUCUUGGUUACUACCACUUGCUAUAUUAUUUCAAGAGACGAGUGCUCUAAAAAAAAGAGAGAGAAAAAAAUAAAUACGAGGAAAUAAAAAGGGGCAAGUGCCCGGAACCUCGAAGAAAAGAAAAAGUGAGACGAGAGGUAAAAAUAGACAAGUGUCCGACAGUAGAAUUAGGGGUACAAGAUACCCACCUGAGAGGAAAGAAAAAGAAAAUAUAGAGCAUCUCAUUCUCCUCAAAAAGUUUCAAAAGAGCAAGAAAGGUAUGUAUCCCCUCAAAAGAGCACAAGUAGAAUUAGACUUUCACCAUUGUUAUCACCAUCAUUACCAUGCACCAUUCAUUCGCCACACAUGCACAUCUUGAUUUGACUUAUUGACUUGUUCUUCUGGAUCCAUGGUUUGACUAUGCAAUAAAUGUCUUGUAAGUAUGUAUUAGCUGUCUCCCACCUAUGAGCUCCAGAUAUCAAAACUUUAUUAGAGUAGGGUGAGAGAGAAGGCAAUGCCACUAUGCCUCAUACCAAAAAUACUACAUACUUUGAGAGAAGGCAUACACCAUUACUGCCUUGGUAAGGAUCCAGAAAUACCACAAAAGAGAGACUAGAGAGAGUCAUACAAGGAAUCUCUGAGUUUUAUUUGAAAAUCUGCAAAAACUCCAGAGCUAUAGUUAAUCGAAGAACAAGAGACAUGGCGCUUGACUAAGACCGUUCUAUCUUUUAACUGCUGAAGACACAAGUGAUGGUUGCAAGCCCCAUGGUGGAAGGUAAAAUGAGUAAUUUUAAAUCUUAACAGUUUACCCUAACCCAGAUAUGAGAUCUUGUUUGAAUUCAUGUGUAUCUAUAAGGCAUGAAACCACUGCAGAAACUCUUGAGUUCAUCUUUGCUCAGGGACGAGCAAAGGUUAAGCUUGGGAGAGCUUGUUGACGGUCCUUAAUGCUCACAUUUAACCAUCAACUAAUCAUAGAAAAGGAUCUAAAUGGAACCAACAUCUAGAUUUAGGGUUUUAUCUGACAGAAUUCCACGAGUUUUGGUGUUUGUCUAUUUCUGCAGGGGGUUAUCAGGAAAUACGGAAGAAAGGCCCACACGUCGGGUUUACAUAGAGAUAUUAACGUGCCGCGCAAUUUUCUACCAUCUAGAAGACUCCAGAAGCCACGAGAACGAACUGGAGGCCGAUCGGGCCCGGGGGCAGGGCGCCCGCCCUCCCCCCUUGGGUGCCCGCCCUGCUACAGUGCCCAAUCAGGGUCAACUUCGCGGAUCGUGCUCCACCGACUCUAAAGAUCGAGGAAAAUCACACGAUUAAGGUCGGUUUGAUCGGAUGGUGGAGAAUAACAUGGAAAUUCCUUGGGAGCUACUCUUCCUAGAUUUCUUGGGUGCUACUCUUCCUAGAUUUCUUGGGGGCUACUCUUCCUGGACUAUAUAAGCAGACCCCCACCAGCCCCUGGAGGCAUACCUCUUCUACAGAAUCAAAGCUAGGGUUUCAAUUCUUCAUCCAAGUAGAGAGGAUCCCUCUAGUUCUUCUAGUUCUACCUCUAGUUCAUCUAGAUCUAGUUCUAGUUCAUCUACUUCUAGUUCUAGUUCUUCUAGUUCUAGUUCUAGUUCUAGUUAGUUCUAGUUGUAAUCUAGAAAAUAGGGAGAGAGAAGAGGAGAGGGGAGGAGGAGCCGGAUCUAUCGGAUCUUCCUCAACAUUGUACUUUUGCAGCAACUGGUUCGUUCUUCAUCGUUCUCCAGGUUCUUCAAUUUAUAAUUCCUGAGUUCUUUAAUUACUUUUAUUUACAUUCAAGUUAUUUAUUGGAUUCCCGCUUGCAUCAAGUGCUCUAGUCUUUAUAACGCUAGAGUAGUAAUUAAUAGAUUAGACGUGGUGUUUAGUCUUGCAAUUACCUGGAAUUGCACCCAAUCCUGCGGAUUGUUGUGGUAGCCUUAGGGUAGUGACAGCCCUAACGGUCGACGUAUUCCACCUCGUUCGAAUCGGUGUUUGUAGGACCGUAGUCAGACCUUCCUAGCCCCCUUCUCAUCUCUUUCUGUGGUUAGUGCUCUCAUGUCCCGAUAUAGAUAAUCUUGAAGUAAUUCUUGAAUCUUAGAUCAACUAGAGAACUCUCAGGAAACUUCCUCUCUUCCCACCAAAAAUAAUUAUAUAGUUAUCCUUGGACGAUCUUGAAUCUUAAUUAGUACACUCACGUUCUCUGUGGAAAAUCGAUACUCUGGAAUACUCCCGGGUGAAGGCUACAUCGGUAUCCGUGCGCUUGCGGAUUUUUCUGUUUGCGUUUAAAAUACCCAACACCAGCCAGAUUCUAUUCCAAGCCCAAAGAGGCUAGUAUAGAUGUGUGUACAUAUGCAAAGAGGUCCUCCAAGUAUAGAGAAAAUAUAAAGUACAUCUACACGUCUAACAGGGGACAAGCUGGAUUCCAAAGGGGAGGAAAUGUCAAGACCAAGGACAAGGCAUGGAAGGAGACCAUAGCUAAUUUGGCAUCGGGUUCGAAUGAUAGUGUAUGUGGCUGAUGGCCUAAAAUGUUUGAGCAUUUAGUUAUAGGGGCUUAUAUACUGCCCCUGUCUCAACACUGACCCAACUCAUUAUAGCCCAAGGCUGUCUAGACUAUCUCCAACAAGUGACCUAUAUAGGAACCCAAACCUAAAAUGGAUAACCACAUAUACAAAAUUAGCCUCCAACAGAUUACCUACCGAGGAGACCUAUUUAGGAUUUUUUGGGAGACACAACCCAAAUAUAAAUAUUCUCUCUCCUAAAAACCCAUUUGCAGAAAGAAUUCUUUUUUAGUCAUGUUGUUGUUGGAGAAUAUGCCUUUUUUAGUCAUGUUGUUGUUGGAGAAGAUGCCAAAUGAAUAUUGAACUCUUUGGCUAUAGUGCUACCCAAAGGUCGAGUGGAUCUUGUAUUUUGAGUAUUGUUGUUGAAGAUAGUCUAAAGCCUGUAACACUACGGCAGAUAGCGCCUUUGCCUAGCACCUGGGUAUUUGCUGAGCGCUAUUUAUCGAGCGCUUGGCAAAGGCCACCUUUGCCUAGCGUCGGGCUCUCGGCAAAGACUGCGCUCGGCAAAGAUUUCUUUGCCGAGCGUCGUGCCCUCGGCAAAGGGCGACACUCGGUAAAGAAUGUCUUUGCUAAGAGCCAAGCGCUUGGCAAAGGAUCGCACUUGGCAAAGAACGUCUUUGCCUAGCGCCUGACAAAGGCUCGCACUCGGCAAAGAGCUAACACAGAGGACACGGGGUACCUGCCGUCAGCCUUUGCCGAGCACCCUUCGUCAGGCGCUCGGCAAAUGCACCUCUUUGCCUAGCACUGACCUUUGGUGCUCGGCAAAGAAAUUUUUUUUGCUUUUUGUUUCCAAACUUUUUUGUUAUGCAUUACACAUUAUUUAAUAGUACAUGUUUAAGUUUUGGUACUUUUUUUAAAUCUUUUUAUUAUAUAUCGUUAGUUUAUUUGAUUUAAUUGAAUUUGUCUAAUAAACGCGGGUUUGAACUGUAGGUGUAUCAAAUCUCCAAAUUCGACGGUUCGAAAAUUGAUAUUCCCAUUACUUAGCGUAUUUUAAGGCCAUAUCCAGGAGCAUGCAUGAAAUAUCGAACAUCUCGCGCAUGGAACAGACGACCAAGUUGCGCAUAAAGUGCUAUUACAUUAUAUAAAAUGCAAACGAAGUCCGAAAAUCACAAAACUUAGCGACACGUCUUUGGAGCACAUGGUGGAGGCUAUGGUAAAAACAAAGUUUGAUGCACGUUGUCAUGGAAGUUAGUUAGAAACCUAGACUCCCGUGGUCCAGCCUAAGCCUCAGCAGGAGGACGUCGAGGAGCAGCCGCAGCAAGAGGAGGACGAGGAGCACCAGGUGGUGCAGUAAAAUGAGGAGGAUUGGGGGGGACGACGACAGGGACCUCGGCGGUGGCGGGGCCGAGGGCUCUGCUAGGACGUCGUCUUCCACUACUGCAUGGAGUGUCUACUUUCGAGGUCCCAUGUCUCUCCCUAACAAACCAAGGCGACGCGUUUCGAUUGUCCUAGAGGGGCAAGCGUAAGACACCUCUACAUGUUAUCACUAUUACUUUGUAUCCUUUGUUCAAAAUCUAAAUAUAUACUAAUAUGUUUACUUAAUCACUUGUGCAGGACCUGGAGGGUUGUGUUGGAAGGGGAUUCACGCCAUGUGAAUGGCGUCCUAGGGGCCCUGGUCAGGCACUACUUUCCUGGCAUUGUAACGCAUGCCGGGAAGGACGAGCCCGCCUACACGUGGGCCCACUACAAGUCCGCCCACCACGCCACCGCAGGCAACGUGGCAGCGCUCAUCCUUCAGGAAAUCUGGGUAAGUCUUCCUCGCAGUACAUGCCUCAAUGCAACGCAUUCAUUGGAUCCUACUUGAAAUAACUAAUGCAUACAUCGUGUCUUCAUAUGCAGAUGUACUUCAAGCUCGAUGAGAGCUACGAGGGCAAUGCGGACGCCAUGGCUAGGAAAGCUUGUAGGAAGUGCGUCACAGACAUGUACCACGAGGCGAGAGUCCAGGCCAUCAGAGAUUACUAUGGGAAGCAGUUUGGAGAGAGCAUCAACAAGCAACAAAUUCGAGAGUGGAGGCUCUCCCUUACCAAAGAGUAGUUCAUGCAGGUAACUGGACAACUUUAAAUUAAGUUCCAUUCAACAUUAGGUGCUAUGAACUUGACUUCCUAGCAUGUCGAUUACUUCAUGACGUGUAGGUCAUUCCUUGGUGGUGCGAAAAGUCCCCCAAGGCAUGGGGGCAAAUCGUGGACCGUUGGCUAAGCGAGGAGUGGCGGCAGCAGCACCAGCUGCCCGGGCUCACCGUUUGGCCAUGCCAGGUGUGCCUCACCAUCAAGGCAACCGCAACGUCGGCGGCUUCGGCCGAGCUUGGGUACGUCAUCAUGUUUGUAACUAUUGCCAUGCUUUAAUUUAACUAGGCAAAGACUACUAACAAACUUCUUUUCGUUCUCGCAGUCGGCGGCGCACGGUGGCCAGCAAUGCUCCUACUUCCCAGCAUAUACCAUGUCCUAUGACGUCUCCUUCAACCCGGAGGACCCACCGGAGGCGUACACAAGUGAGAGCGCCUAUAAGAAAGUCACUGAGUACCACAAGGCGGCGAGGGCGAUGUAUGGGCCGGUUUAUGAUCCAACGACUGACAACAUCGAUGUGUGUCUUGUCAUGUGUCCUGGAAAGGGAAAGCAGCAUGGGCGCUACUGGAUGGCGAACAGUGUGAUCGACAGCGCCACUACUCCUGCUCUCUCCCAGAUCCGAGCACAGACCACGAGCGGCUCCAGACUCCCGCCGAUACGUGAGCUGCUGGCCUAUGGACAGGCCCGGGUCGAGGAACUAUAGGUUAGUUUUGGUUUACUCAUCGUGCAUUACACGGGGAUUUCCUUCUCGCUUAACUAAGAUUAUUUUUGCAACAAUGUAUAGGCCUAGGUGGUGUUGGGACAAUGCGCACUGCACUCUCCCCUGCGACACAACGUACAGAGAACCUUCUCACACGAUGCAGUGAGAGACUCAAUCAGCAGCGGACAGUGGGGUGAACAGUGGGAGGAAACAGUAAAUGCUCUCCCGCUCCCUUGUUAACGGUGGCUUCACUCCCUUUAUAUAGGGCUCGGAAACCGACCUAAGGUAAUUACAAGAAUGCCCCGUGACGGUGGGGGAAUAUCUCAGCAUAUUCCUAUGUUACAGUCUACUGGCCCUGAGCCAUUUAUGUAAUUUCACACUACGAGCUUCUCGCACACUCCUCGUCCAGGUCUUCAGCUCGUUGAAGGCUCGAAUCCGCAGCCUGGGUGGCGAACCUUCGACGCUUCUAUGCCGAAGGUCCUUCGGCUCGGCCUAGCCGAAGGUUCCCUGACGCAGGCGCUCCGAGGGCUCACCGGCCCCGCUGCGUCCUCCAGCAUUCCUUCAGCCAUCCUUCGCCGUGGGAGGAUUCGAAGGUUCAUUCCUUCUCCGCUCGCGACCUCCGCCUUUAUCUUGGUUCCUGCAUUUACUCAGUACCACAAGAGAUGCAUCAACAUUAGGCUUGCCUCGAACCUCCGCACUAUUUCGUACGAAGGUUCUUGGGGCGGAGGAGAUCCUUAGAAGCGACCAGGGGGAAGGAAGCGACCAGCCCCCAACAGUUCCCUCCUUUUUGGCUAAUGGCACACCUGCGGUCCAUAUGCUCAAAAACGUGUCACGCCGCGGAGGCUGGGAGCAUGGUUGCUGCCUUCCCCCCUGGUGCGCAGGAUGUGCUUUUUGGCCGCAUGAAAAAGUUUCUUGAACUUAGUCAUGAAUUCUCUUAGUUUGCUUCGUUUUUUGACAUCCUUCUCCCCUUGUUUGAUGUUUGCAAAUUUUGCUUUGUUUUUGGGGGUGAUUAGUUUUUCUGCGAGAUUCCUUCGCUGUUGUUUAGAGUUCUUUGCAUUUGAAGUAGCUGGGUUUAUCCUUCGUCGAAUGAACGACGGAGGAUAGCAAAGAGCCGUUAAAUGGAUGGCAAAAUUUGCGCAGCUAGCCAUUGGCUUUUCCUAUUUUUCGCUAAUUGCCAUUGGGAGCAGGGAAUCGCAACGGUCGCGGCGAGUCCUCCGCUUAUAGCUGUUGGGCGCUGGGAAUGGCAACGGUUGCCAGGCGCAAGCCCCCCCAGUGUAAAAGGGGGUGGAGGGUAGGUGGAAGUCCUCACCCUUGCCGCUCAUUGCCUGCCUAGUUUCCUUCGCCAACUUUCCACUUAGCCUCUGAGUUGCUUGCGCGAGUUGUAGUUUGGUUGUUUUUUAUUUAGUUCCUAAGUGCUUGCGGAGGUUAUAUGGUGGCUUUUAUUCCUUUGACUCGUCCUUUGAGGGCAGAUUUCUCUGGUCCUUUGCGGAAAUUUCUGAGUAUGAGGUCCGGAGGUUGGCUGUGGAGGUUUGAGGAUUGGAUGCUUGAGGUGGCUGCUGCUCAAGAUCUGGAGGAAACUCUAUCUGACGCCAAGGCUUCUGUUGGGGAUCUGAUAAGCUUGAAGGAAUUUGAGUCGAUAGCUUCUAUUACCUUCGAGUUUGGGGAGUCAACCAUCAAGCCGCAGGACAUAGCGGAUAUGGCUGAGGUUGGGUUUUUCAUGGAAGGUCGUGUGAAGCUCCUCCUGCGGGACAAACAGUGCCUGCGCCUGAGGAGGAGUAUGCCAUGGUGUUCAUGGAUUUCUUCACCUGCGGACUCCGGUUUCCUCCGUAUGCUUUCCUCCGCCAAGUGAUGGAGGCUUUUAAUGUUGAGCUGCAGCACUUUAGCCCGAACAGGAUUCUUACCCUUAGUAAGUUUGCGUGGGCCUGUGAAUUCUAUGGAGCGGUGCCACACAUUGACACUUUUUGCUCCUAUUUUGAGCUCCAGCGGUAGCCGAAGAAAGUCAAGAAUGCCGAAGGAGAGGAAUUCAUUGCGCAGUUCGAAAGCUGCACGUUCAUGCCGCGUCGCACAAUGCCUGGAGCGCGAUGCGAGAUUUCCUUCUAUCAAAAGGGGAAGUGGGAGAAGGAUUGGAUGAAGGCUUGGUUUUAUGUCAAGUCUCCUCCAGCUUCGCGCACCCUGGAUGAUGGUAAGGUGGAGAAGGUUUUUCCUUAUGCGUCGAAGAUGAAGGAGCUCAAGCCAGUCUACAAGGUUGAUCCUUCAUCGGAGAUGUCGGAGGAACACAAGGCCUGCGACAAGGCCUUCGCACUGGUCUGCCGUUUCUCAGGCGGGCAAGACUUGGUUGAGGAGAUGGUGGCUUCUGACUACUGGCCUCUUGGCCACAGGAAUGAGGAGUUUACCAUCGAGAUGGUUCAGGUGUCGGUUUUUGGUCCUCCGGAGGGGAUCCCGAUUCCUCGCUUUGGCGUGGGGUUGUCGGAGGGUGAGACGAAAGAGUCUUUCCUUGAUCGUGUCAAAGCUUCGGCUUGCAGGAUAGUGGGAAAGAUUUCUGAGAAGGAGUAUGUCCAGCGGAAAACUACGCUGGCGACAAUGUCGUGGUUCAACCGCGUUUUUGAAGAGGUGGGGAUCGAGUAUGAUGAGUACGCCGUUCCUUCGGAUGUGCUUCUCGGCUUGGAGAAGAGGAGGGAUGCUUCCAAGACUAUUGCCGCUGCUGAGUCGCGGAAGAGGAGGGGAGGUGGGGCUACCAAGACGCUAGCGAAGAAGCAUAAGGUGGAGGUUGUAGCGGAGGCUCUGGUUGAGUCCUCCUCCGACCGCUCCUCCGCAGCCGAGUCUAACUCUGUGGAGUCUCAGCCUGUGGAGGAAGUGCCGGCUGUACCUACGACUGCUCCUACUGGCGGUCUUCAAGGUGAAGUCUCCCGAGCGGUUUCGUCUGCCCGCUUACCCUUCGCGUCACUUCUUGGCGAGGAUUCCUCCGACGCGGAGGCUCCGGGGGCUAGUCCUCCGCGAGAGAUCCCUACCGGUGGAGCGUCGCCGCCAAAGGAAGUGUAGAAUGACUCUAGCGAGGAGGUUGAAUCUGCUUCUGUCCGAAGGAUAAAGAGGGUGGUUGAGCCCCCGCAGCCAGCUAGCGGAGGGAUCAACUCUCUUUAUAUUGGUAAGUUUUUAAUUUUUGUUGCUUUUGAUGUUUUGGCAUUUCUAUAAAUCUUAAAUUUUUUAUCCUCCGUACGCUUUUAGAGGAUGUUAUUGCGGAGCUUGCGAGUGUGGAGGAGCUAGACAGAGGAGAUAGCAUUGCGCAGGAAGGGCUUGAUGUUCCUCCGCCCCGCAUUCCUACGCCAUCUGCGUUAGACACUCGGCCUUCGCCUGCUAAUGUUAUUGGUCCUAGUAAGUUUUUAAAUAAUUUUUCGUCUUUGCACUUUGAGUGGUUUGGUUAUCUCUAGUUGAUGCUGAUCACGCUUUUCAUUUUGUGCAGGUGCUUCUGAUCCUUCGAUCACAGGUUGGACUAAUACACUGCAAGAAGUUCAUUCUUUCGUCGGAGGUUUGAUUUCCGACCUCCGCUCUAUUAUGACUUUAACUUUGUAUUUUGUUUUUUCUUACCAUUAUUUGCUCUUCAGAUCGUUUCUGGCCGAAGCUUUGGGAUAUGGAUUAUGACAUGCUGCUUCGCAUGCAGUUUGAGCAUCAUAGCCUUGUAAGUUUCGAGUUUGUUUUAAUUUUCCUUCGUAGUUUUCCGUUCGGAGGUUUUAAUUUUUGUUGUUUUGACCAUGGGCACAACAUGGUUGCUGCCUUGGAGGAGCGAUGCUCCCGAGAGGUUAUAUGCCGUAAUGAAGCCAUCAAGGCUUUGAAAAAAGAGAACGAAACCUUGGAGGCUGAGAAGGCCCGCCUGUCGGAGGAAGUUAAGGACUUCUCUUCGACCUGACAGGAGAUUGAGGCGCUGAGGAAGGAGAGGGAUGAGCUCAAGGUUGGAUCAGAGGUCAACAGGAAGGAGAAGGAUGAGGUUGAAGCUUCAGCCGCCGUCCUUCGUGAGAGUGCCUCCGAGGCGGGGAGGGCCAAGGACCUGGCCGUGCAGCGGGCCAAGAAAGCCGAGGACAUCGCUGACCGCCUCUGCAAGGAACUUGAUGCCGAGCGUGUGUCUGCAGCUGCUAUGCAGACUCAAUUGCAAAAGGCAAAGGCAAAUGCUGCGGCCGUCAUCAGACUUUACUCCGGCUCGCUGGCGCAGUUCGGAGGUAGCACCUCCGCUCCUCCGUCCGACGGUGACGUUGGGGUUAGCCUUGCGUGGCUUAAGUCACAUGUCAGCAUGCUCCCUGAAUUUGUUGGGGGAGCUGUUGAUUUUGGGGCUUUGGCCGCGGUUAACUCCUUUGCCCGGCUCCUUCUCCGCGGAGGCUGUUCUCACACCGAGGUGGUCACAAAGGAAGAAUUCUCCUCCCCUGAAGAUGUUAGCGAAGCUUCGUCAGGCCUGCGCAAGUCUGUCCGAAACUUUAUCAGUUCUUUUUGGAUUAGGUUUGGGCAGGCUGAGGCGAAGAAAAUGGCGGAGGCUCGCCGUGCUGAGGUUCAUAUUUUUUGUUAUGCCCUGUAUGUUGUGUAGUUAUUUCCUUUGUGCUUCAAGACUUUGCUUUUGCAGGAGCUUGCCAAGAAAAAGGUGAAGGCUGAGAAGGCUGGCCCCUCGCGUCCUGCUGGUGGAGUGCAUCCUUCGGACCAGGCUGAUGCGGAGAAUCCUGAAGCUGGUGCCAAGGAUCCAGAGGGACCCGAAGCUCCUGCUCCUCCUCCGCCCCAGGUGUGAGGGUUUUUUAGUAUUUAGGCAUUUUUUAGCCUUUGCGUCUACUUCUGAGCGGCGCUUUUUGUAAAAAAGGAUGAAGGUUUAACUAGCUUGUAAGAAAUUGAUGGAUAUGUUAUAUAUUGGUUUGGUAUUGAAUGAAUGUCUGUUUUAUACUUUAUCCUACGCAGGUCUCUAGCGGAGGACCUGUGCAGGAUCCUUGUGAAGCUCUGCUUUCCAUUUUUUCAAUGGAAUUUAUGUUUUGGGUGACUUGUGGGAAUAUUGGCGAACUGCCUUUCCUAACAUGAGUGUAGUAGAUAUGUUUGACUUUGUCGAAUUUGAUAUCGACGACGAACGUUCUGAGUUCCUUCGUUCACUUGCGUACCGAGGGUCUUGCCUCCGACUUAGGUGGUUGUUUCAUUCUCUCUUGUUUGUUUUUUGUUUUAGGUUAUGUGGUUUUCUUGCUCUGAUUUAAGCUGAUCUAUUUCUGCAGUCAUCGUAUCCGAUCCUUCGUAUUUUUGGUGAGGAUGAUGGAAUAUGUUAGCUGUCGAAGGAUCCUGAUGUUAUGGCUGAGCGCUAUCUUCCUGGGCGCGUGGAGGUUCAAAAUCUUUGUCCUUCGACCUACUUGGGGCCUUCGCUUAGUUAAUUUUUUUGUGUUAACUUUUUGGCGCAGGUUGUUAGGUCACCUCCUAGGCAUGAUGUCCUUCCUUUGAAUUUUGUCGAAGGAAGUUAUGUUACUCCUGUGACAUUCAAGCGUGGUGAUCUGUACGCGAGGGGAUGGCUGCUGAAUUGGUGGCGUCACAUUUGUCCUACGUGCACUGGUGACGACUUAGUUGAAUUUCUCGCUCGUGACUAUUGUAGUUAAUUUAGGACUUUUGGUGAUUCAUGUACAAGAUUUGUAUAUGACUCUUAGAUCCUUCGGCGUUUUGCCGACGAAGGAUGUUAGGUUAGAUUUUUGUUUUUCCUUCUUGAUGUAAACAAUUGGUGUAAAUAUUGCUAUCAUGAAUAAAGACCAGAUUUUUUAUCAGGACUCUUUCUUUUACAACCUUCGCACUCUUAGCGGCCUUUAACUUUGUGAUUAGUUGUGUUUGUUGAACACACCGCAACGUUGUAGUGGUGUUGAUCCUAAAGAUCUUUGUCUUGCUGUUGUGAUUACAUACUUGUUGCUCGAUGUUGCGAAGGCGUUGGUGGCCAUGUUAUGUGCGCAGGAUUGCUGCUCCUUGACCUUAGAACCUUCGCCUGUCUUGGUUCGAAGGUGCCUUUGCUAGAUUGGGCUCAUCUUUGCCGUUGUUCGGCUCCCGUGGAGUGUUGGCGAGGGUAACCUUCGUGUGUGCUUGUUGGAGGUUCUGAGGGGAUGUUACGAGACUUCGUGCGAUACCCUUCAAUAACCUCUGAUACUGACUUGUAGUGCUUUUAUUGUAGCUAUAAACGACCCUGUGGUCGAUGUUCAUCACAAUGCCGUGGCUCUGAUAUUACGAAGCUUCGUGCAGUACCAAGUUUUUAGGUGGCUAUGAGGCUAACUCCUACUUCCAUGCUAGCCUAACUUGUUUUGUUUGAGCGUGUGGGGCUUGCACUGACUAUUUGGUUACUAGUGAGCCGGUCCUGACUGAGGGUUCGGGUUGUGGAGUGCCUGGUUUUAUAGCCUUGUUUACAUUGAUUGGUUGUACGCUGUUAGGUUGGUUUUUAUUGCCGAUUUAUGUUUGGUUGUUGGGGUAGUUGGUGUUGUUAAAGUCAUUUAUUCCUCUACAGAGUAUAAGCUUAGCUUUGCCUUUGAUCUUUGUGGGCGGUGGUUUUGUGUGUUUUUUGAAUGUUUUCUUGCUUUAAGCUACCUUCGUAUUUUGGACAAAGGUUGUGUGGUGGUUGCCUUCUUUGAUUCACAGGAUACCUUCGGCCUUAUUUUGUCGAAGUUUGUGCGAGUGAUGGUGAGAUGGUUUUCUUUUAAGGUAUGUGAUACCUUCGUCGCCUUUUGGCGAAGGUCAGACAAUUCCUGAUGCCUGAUUGUCUUUUAGGUCUUUGUCAGGUUUGAUGGUUUUAUUUUUUUCUGGUUGUUGACGGUCCUUAAGUAUCAAAUAUAAUCAGCAAAUAAACAAAGAGUCUUGGUGUUUGUCUAUUUCUGCAGGGGGUUAUCAGGAAAUACAGAAGAAAGUCCCACACGUCGGGUUUACAUAGAGAUAUUAACGUGCCGUGCAAUUAUCCUACAUCUAGAAGAGUCCAGAAGCCACGAGAACGAACGGAAGAUCGGACUGGCUCGGGGGCAGGGCGCCCGCCCUCCCCCCUUGGGUGCCCACCCUAGCCUCAGGGCCAAUCACCACCAACCUCGCGGAUCAUGCUCCACCGACCUAAGGGAUUAAGGAAAACCGUGCGAUUAAUGUCGGUUUGAUCCGACGGCCCAUAUUCACUUGGAAGGACUAUACAAGCAGACUCCCUGGCCCCUGGAGGAGAGGACCUCAGACCCCUAAUUCAUUAUUCAUCUUGGGAGAAGAAGCCUCUGAUCAAGCCCUAGAGCCACCACAUCAAUUAGAUCUCUAGUUUAGCAUAGCUACAUAGGAUUAGAACUAGAAGGAGUCAAUCUUCGAUUGGUUUCCGGAUCUGUCAAGAGGAUUCUUGGUAAUUCCUCUAUUGUUCUUCAAUAUUAUGAAUAUGACUUUGUUCUACUUCAAUAUAUUGAUUAUGACUUUGCACUACUUGUUUAUAUUCGCAAUUAUAUUGUUCUUAGUUUAUCAUAGUUAUAUACUUGGCUUAGUUAGAUUGGAAUUAUAUACAUGUUUAGGAUCGUAUAGCAUUUAUCCAUGUGUACAGUGGGUAAAUGAUAAGUAUUGUGUAGGCAUGGUGCCUAUACCGUAUUUAUCUGCGAUUGUACCUUAUAUGCCAGAUCGCGGGGUAGUUCGUGGUAGUGACAGCUCCAUUGAUUCUUAUAUAGUCCCCUUCUCGUGUAUAGGGCUGGCAGAGCAACAUUAUUAUAGGGGAGUGAUUGUGUGUCACACCCCAAAAUUCUAACUUUGGGAUAUGACUUAGAAAAUACUAAAAACAAAGACAAAGAAUUUAUUUUUUUUAUGAAAUGUUCCAACUUUAUUUAUGUUGACAACAUUUUAGAUAGUGAAAAAUGUGGGUUUCUAAAAUUUUUGUAAAUCAACUUAGUGGUUUGUUGCAUUCAUGCCGUUGUAUAGUGUUUAUGCUUGAAAAAUAAAUUUUGUUUGUUUUCAAGAUAUGCCUUGGGUUUAUCCCAACUUCAUCUUUCCAAACAUCAAACCAAUAUCUAAAAGUUCUAAUCAAAUCUUUUGUCCACAAACUAAAUCCCUAGCCUAACCCUCUCCCUCUCUCGCUUUCCUCUUCCUUUUUUUGGACUCCUACUUGUUUUUGAUCAAGUCCUCCCAACCCCUUAAAUCUAAAUUAUAUGACCACCUUGUUUACACAAUUCUGCCAUCACUUUGAUCAAGCCAAGUUCCCUGUCUUGCUUUGGAUCAAGUCCAAACCAGCCCAAAACAUCCAUCUUUCUCUCCCACCUCAUGCACGAUUCUCUACUUCUCUUUUAUGUAAAAAGGAAAAUAGAAGCCCUCCUCACAUCUAUGUGUCGUCAUCCCCUUGGGCAGCACCUGAUCUUUUCCUACAUGCACAAACUUCGUCAACUAAUUCCUCCUUAAUUCCUCCUUUUCAAUUCACUAAUAAUCUUAUUGACUGCAUGUGGAAAGCACCAUGCAUGGACAGUUAACUUUUGCAGCUACACCAACACUUCCUCUCUUCUCCAUGCAAAGAUAAUUCCUCUAUUAAUUUCCUUGACUCCAUCAAAUAUAUCUUUAUCCCAUCUCACCAGUUGUAUGUAAUGGCAGCCGUGAAUCUCUUUCUCUUUUCCUCAUGACACCUAUCCUUCAUGUAAAAUAACAGCAGCAUUUAACUCUUUAGCCCCUUGAUUACUUUGUCUCUUUCAUGUGGAGAAAUCACCCUUCUCAUCUCUAUGGCGACUGCUCAAUAAUUCUUUCUUUUUAUUUUUUUUAGACACACUUCACUCCUUCAUUUGUUUUCCUUUACUUCCAAUGGCAUGCAGCCAUCUAUGCUCUGGCUACCCCCACGUUUACUCCUUUUUCUCUCAUGCAAGAGAACAACAACAACUAAUUCUUCCCCUUAAAUUACAAUGGUAACACCUUUGUUUAAUCCUCUCCUUUGAGUAUCCUUUAUCCCAUCAGUGUGCAUGCAAUAGGUAGCCAUACAUCUUCUCUUCCUCCUCCCUUACUGCCAAGGGCGCCUCUCCCUUCUCCUCCUGCUCAAUAUUAAUGUGCACCCAUUCAUUCUCCUAUUGACUCACCUCUAUUAUUUCUAUUGCUUUACUCCAUUGUUUCAUUUGCAUGCAUGCAGAAAAUUACAACCAGCAAUAUCUCCUCCCCCUUGCUCACAUGAGCAGGUCAUCACUUCUCCUCCCAAUGGCGCAUCUUCCUUUUCUCUCAUGCAGAAAACUGCAGCAAAUGUUCCCACUUAAUUCCCUUUACAAGCCCCUCUUAUUCUCCAAUGCAACUCUCUAAUUGCAUGAGUAAUGAAGGGCUCAUGAAACAGCCAUGCAUCACCCUUUCUCCCUUAUUUCUUUUAUGCUCGACACACACACAGGAGCUGCCACUCUCUUCCCUUGCAAAACAACUACUACAAAUAAUGCUCUCCUUUGAUUCCCAUGAGACACACACCUGAUUUCAAUAGCACCUAUUUACUCCAUGGGUUUUACUCUCUUCAUUUGCAUGCAUCCAUGCAGGAAAUAGCAGCCAUAUAUUUUCCCUCUUCCUCUCUUUCUCAUGCACAACAACAGCUUUAUUUCCUCCUCCAUUUCUCCUUCACGCACACCGCAGAUGGACAGCCCCUCUUCCCCUCUCCUAUGCCACCAUUGUCUCACUCUCAUGCAGAAAUAAAAAGGCAAUACAUAAUGCUCUUCCUUAAUCACCUAGCCUCUCUUGACUCCUCUUCAAUUGCAUGCAUACAUUCACAGCCAUAUCUCCUCUCUUUUCCCACGCACAACCAGCAAGACCCUUCUUCAAAACCCUCUUGAUAGCACAUAUUUUUUUCACUGCCUUUUUAUUUCACUUCAAUGGCAUGGACACAUGCAGCUGCAGCAGCUAUAAAACCCCCCCUCAUCUCCUCCUCUCUCCCUCACGCAAGCACCAGAGAAGGAGCAUCCCAUCUCCUCCCCUUCCUCCAUCAGUUGGGCGCCCCUCCUCCUCUCUUUUCCCCAUGGCUGCAGCUCCAACUCUCCCUCCUUUCUCUCCACAAAAAAAAAACAGCAGCCACCGCCUCUUCUCCUUCCAUUUCCUUCACCAUGGAUGGCCACUCCUCUCCCCUCCAAAUCCCUCUCCAACCUCUCCAUCAAAAUACACUGCCCUCUCAGCAACAUUUUUGUUUUGCUGCUGCACGUUUCUUCCCAUCAUCGGAGUCAUGGAAUUCUUCACAUCUUGCUUGAGGACGCCAUGGUGCUGCAGCGCUUCAUGGAGGUCACCCCAAUGUCUUUUCCCAUCUCCCAGAACCUGCAGCAGAAACUCAUCGACCGUCAUCGCUGCUGCUCUUGUGCAGACCAUGGUGAGGUCGCCCUUCCCUCUCCCCUCUGUGAUCUUGUUUCAUAUUCCCCACUCAUGCAUCUCUUUGAUCUAUUGUGAGGCAUGGAUGAUCCCCCAAAGCGAAUAUGCCACUGCUCCAUUGAUCGCCAACAUUGUCUUCACCUGUCAUUGACACUGACCGCUGCCAUUACGUUCAUCUCCAACUAUUUCUAACCCCAAUGUGAGAACCACACAUUUCCCUCUAUCUUAUAUGUUGAACUAUAUCAAAGUUUUUUCAUCUUAAUUCAAGUGGAUAGAUUUGUAGUGCAGUUUUGGCUAAGAACGUAUUGUUGUCUAUCGUGGACAGCAGUGUUGCUGCUGGUUAUCAAGCAUGUUCCUGGCAAUUUGCAUAUCUGUUUUGCAAUUCCUUUAAUCCAUGUGUGUAUCAUAUAUCUGCACAUGUCUCCAUAAAAAUCCCAUGGCCAUAUCAUCCAAACAAAAAGAGUUAUCAUUUGUCUCAUGCUUGCUGCCUAUGCAGCCACGUAGUCACGCUGCUGCUGAUUGGCAUGUAUGUUCCUGUUGUUUUACCAAUCCAAUACUCAUUUCUUUCGACCCACACAUGUAUCACAUACUUGUACAUGGUUAUGCAAAGUUGGUCACCCAUCCGAUCAAUAGAGAUGGUGUUUUGGGUCAGUUUUCACACUCACUAUCCCUGCUAUCCUAGCAGCCACGCAGCACUAAAUUGUUUUGGCUUUCCUCAGAAAACUGUGAUCCCAAUCAUCAAACCCUUUCACCAUAAGAGUAAAUAUCAUUCUCACACAUGUCUUUGCAAAGUUUCAUGGCUAUAGGAUCAAACAUGAAAGAGAUAUAAUCUUUUUCGUGCCCGCUGUCUCGUUUGUUCAACAGCACUGCAUCUCAGUGGCAGUGUUAUUCCCCAUUAACCGUUCAUCACAUAGUCAAACCCUUUUACCACAGAGUAGAUAUCAUCCCUGAGCACACCUCUGUAGGACAGUUUUGUCAUAGGAGUUGAGACACCAAAUAUAUCAUCAUCUUCGUGAACGCUAUCCCUGCAGUCCUGGCAGCUAGGCUGAUCUGAAUUGUAUUGGAGUUCCCCAUUAAUCUAAAAGCCCAAUCCUCAAACCCUUUGACCAUCUUGUGCCCCUUAACCUUGCAUACGAUUCUGCAAUUUGGUAUGUCCAUGAGUGCCACGGUGGCCGAGAUAUAAAUGCCACUGUCACUGCCACUCUUGCAGUCCAUCUAUCGGCAUCACAUCUGUUUUAUGAUCAUGUUUUCCGAACCAACUGUUACACAAAAUGACAUGCCCUCUUGCCAAAACAUACCUCAUAGAGUACCCAGUAUCCCCGCAAAAUGGAUCACCUUUUGGUUUGGUGAUAACCAUACAACCGCUGAUCAUAACUCCCACAAUCUGCCGACAUCCACGUUAUGGAUUGAUCGGUGUUUUAUCGUGUUCCCCGCUAAACCCCUAUAUAAAUCACCAAGUCCACUUACAUGAUGGUGUGUAUAUCAGGUGCACACAUUUUCACCAAGUGUACUUACUAUACCUUUGGUGCAGCUCCAUAUUUUGGUGGGAAUAUUCUAGAAGCACUUCAUGUUGAUCUAGCAUCCACCGUUUUGCACACAUUUGUCACGAUGUGUUUCCAAUUCAUCACCGAACAUAUCCGGAAGCACUCUCUCAUCCAUGUUAGAACAAUCAGUCCCUCUUAUGCAAUCUAAUGCUUGUACCAUCUUAUAUUCACUUCACUAUGUUCUAUACAACUCAUUAUACACUACUCCAUAGUCAUCAAUAAUUCGUCUAUAAAUCCUUGUGAUCUAUAAAUCUUUCCAAGCUAGCACUAAAUCGAUCAUGUUCAUUCCAUUCGUAUAAUUUACCGAACCUCUAACUUCAACCUUCAAUCCUUCACACCCUUUUAUAGUAGUUUCACUUAGUUGUUUUUGCGCUCAACGAUUGUAGUUGCAAGCCCUAGUGUUCUAAAACUUUUUUUACAAUGAUUGAUGUACUGUUUUUAGGCUUGUCUAUGAUGCUUGCGAUCGUUGUUGCUAUCGUUAGAAGAGGAGCUCUACAAGGAUGAUGAAGAAGUUGGAUAAGUUUAAGCAACAGUUGAAGGCAAGUGUAACAUGAGUUCCCUUGUUACCUAAUAACUAUUUAAUCACCUCUUCAUGUGCAUGUGUCUAAUAUGAUAAACCCCUAAGGACUUUACCUAGAACUAUUGUAUCUUGUAUCUUGUAUCCUUGUUUACCCUGGGGUUAUGCAUAUGGGUAGUUUGCUUAGUCUGCAAUCACCAAACUAUAUAAUAUUAAUACUGAUUAAUGAUUAUGGAAUCAUUAUUACAAUGAUGCUUUCUAGCAACAUGGAUAUCAGGGGGCUAGAGCAUUGGGCCUUUUUGGGUGCUCUAGUCUGCCCUCCGUAAGGACUGAAUCUUAAAGCGGCAACCCAGGGCUUACAGUACAACCAUGAGAAUCACAUGGCUCUGAUCUUAAUCAAGUAUCUAGUAUGUCUCUAGCUUGUUAGUGGUUACCGAAAGGCGCAAGAGGGGGCUGCCUCGUGGUGUAUAGUUUUGCUCCUACCUUGGUGUGUACAGUGCCGCGACCACAUGUGCCUCUUGGAGGAGGUCUCUAUGCACACUUGCCACUGUAACCUCGCGGCCACUAACUAGUUAGGGUGUCUAGUGAAAGGUUACGUAGUGAUCCCUGCCGACUUACCUUGGAAGUGAGUCAAGAGGUUGGCCCCCUUGGGCAAAAGGCAAUCACGACUCAUGGGUAAAGAUGUACACACUCUGCAGAGUUAUAAAAACUGAUAUAUCAGUCGUGCUCUCGGUCAAGAGCGACCUGGAUCCUUUUCGAGAUAGAUGGUUCAAUGGAUGGUUUGGGUUGAUGAUUAAUUUUGAUGAUAAUUAUACUUGUCACCUUGGGAGCUUAAGCAUAACCUAGUAACAUAGGUCUAAUAAUAAAAUAUGACCAACUAAAAAUGCUUAUCGCAGUCAAACCAAGUCAAGCCUUUUGAGCCUUGCAUCCCCUCAUGUUAUACUUGUUGAGUAUGGUGCGCUCACACUUGCUUUACAUUCAACAAUCAAAAAUCCCGGAUGGGUACCAGAUGGUGAUACAAAGGUGGAGUUCCCUGAGAUGUUCCAGGAGUACUAGGCGAGUGUACCCCCAGUCAACCGUCCCUGUGGAAAAUGGAGACCCAAAGUGAAGAUUAGGAUUAGUUUCCGCUAUGCUUUGUUAUGAUGUAAGCAUUGUUGUAACUAUGUUCCGAUAUAUAAUAAAGCAUUGUUCUUGAUAUUCUCCAUAUUUGUCGCUAUAUGUGUCGUGUGGACAUCCUGGGCACACAUAUAGUUAGCGCUUGGUCUUCUUUGGAAAACCGGGUGCGACAUUGCGAUGUUUCUCAUAUUCCUUGAUAAUAUCACUAUGCAUGGGCAUAGUCUUAUCUCGCAAUGAUUGCCAAGUAUAAUUGCACUAACUAUGAUAUGCUAGACUGUAUAGUUGAGAAUAACUUAGGAAACAUUCUUGUAGUUCGUCCUAAUUCCAUGCAAACGACUUGCUAGAAUAUCUAUUGAGGUGCUUAUCAUAUUUAUAUGUGGCUAAGUUAUGCUGAUCAGAUUAAUUAUCUUUGUCACCAUUCAUACUUUAUAUAUCUUUUAUGGGACACUUAUCCCUGUAUGAAAGAGAUAGAUAAAUGCUCUCAAUUAUACAUGCAAUGAUAGAUACUCAGUUCUUUAUUCCAUUCCAUAAUCAACAUUGAUGAUUACUAAUCCCUUCCCAGUGGUAAAAAUAUAAAUAACGAUACCUGGAAUACUUCCCGGUUAAAAUGCUACAUCUGUAUUAAUCUGUGCGCUUGCAGAUCAUAUUUGUUAUUUAUUUAGAUGAGCAAUUGCAUAUUUCAAUACCGCGUCUCUCAUGUCAUGCUGGGGAUGAUAACUUGGCUUAAGUGGUAUGAGGGAUUGGUUUGGCAUUUUUGGCGCCAUUAUCAGAAUUAGAAAACUAAGUCUACUUUUGGUAGUGACGUUAAGAAUGCCCAACACGGGUCAUGCUGUGAUGCCUGAUGUGGACCGGACUUUUUUCACUUUUGACCAUGUUCUCCUUGCUGCGUUGCUCUUGGCUAGGUCUUUUGCUAAGUAAGUGGUGUUUUUUCACCAUUGAGGAUGUUCCGAGCUUUCUUACCCUUCGGCUGCAAGCUGCGGAGGGUCCUUGUGUUCGCGUGAUGCUUGGUCGAAUAAUACAGCUGUGUUGCUAGCUAUUUUUUGACUUUGAGUUUCGUUACUAGGGUAAGUCCUCUUUAUAUCUUAAAGGUUUUUACAUAGGUUCUACCUCGUUAAAAACCUCACCUCCACUAGGAGUACCCCUGUGAGGCAAAGAGUGCAGACCUUGGUUUGCAAAAAAGGCAGAGAAAAAGGAAAAAGGAAUUGGAUCUAAAAAACAUAGGCGCCUUCGCUUAUUCUGCGAGGGUCGUCCUUACAUUUAAAUGUAAAAUCUUCAUAGAUUAUCGACGUUUCAUGUGUGGGUGGAGGUUCUUCCUUCUAGGUCUUUGAGGUAGAAGGAUCCUGACCUUCCCGCUUGUAUUGUUGUGUAAGGUCCUUCCCACUUGGGUUGCAAUUUCUCGGUGUUUGGGUGAUCUCCUUUUUUCUGAGAACCAAGUCCCCAUCAUGUAUGUUUUUUCGUAUUACCUUGUGGUCUCUCCAAUUUUUGGUUUCUUGCUGAUACUUUGUAAUAUUCUCUACUACUUCCAAUCUUGUUGAUUCUAUAGUUUCCUUGCAGUAGUCUUCAUCCUCAGCCAACUGCUGCUUCAUGGAGCGCAGGCUUUGGUGUUUGAUUUCUUCGGGCAGCAUUGCCUCUUUCCCGUAUAAGAGCUUGAAUGUUGUGAACCCAGUUGCUCUUGAAACUAUUGUGUUGUGAGACCACACAACUCUAGGUAGUUCGUCAACCCAUUUCCCCUUUCGUAGGUUGAGCAGUGUUUUGGAGAUUGUGGAGAAUAUUAUUCUGUUUGCUCUCUCCACUUGAUUCUGGGUGGUAGACAGACACGAAAGCGAUUUUGGUUCCUAUGUGAUGGUAGAAUUGUUUGAACUUAUCUGAAUCAAACUGCUUUCCGUUGUCAACUGUGAGCAGGCUUGGAACUCCGAAUCUGUAGACUAUGUUCUGCCAGAAAAACUUCUUGAUUGUUUAUGAGGUUAUGGUUGCUAGUGGCUUCGCUUCGAUCCAUCUUGUGAAGUAUUCGAUGGCUACGACAGCGAAUUUGUUUCCCCCCUGGGCAGUUGGCAUCGGCCCUACCAGGUGCAUUCCUCAUCUUUGCAAUGGCCAUGAUGGUGAUAUGAGCUGAGUUGGUGCCGAAGGUCCCGACUGAAUUGGUGAUAAGGUCUGGCAAGCUUUGCAAGUUUUCACUAUCUCUUCUACAUCUUUGAUGUGAGUUGGCCAAUAAAAACCUUGUCUCAGUGCUUUGGCAGACAAUGCAUAGGGGCCGAUGUGUGAUCCACAUAUCCCAGAAUGUAUUUCUUGCAGGAGUUUUGUACCCUCAGUUUGUGAUAUGCAUUUCGACAAUGGUUGGACUAUGCCUUUUUUGUAAAAGUUUCUGUUAAUGAUGGUGUAAUUCCUUGCUCUUGCUUCCAUUCUUUUACUUACUGCUUCGUCCUCUGCGGCUAUUUUGCCAUUGAGAGAAUCUGCUAUCGCCUGCCUCCAGUCUUCGCCUUCUGUCAGCAGGACUGAGCGGCAAGCCUUUGGUAAUGAUUCAGUCACGGGUGUUUCAAGGAUUUGGUAGAAGGUUAAUUCUGGCAAGGCAAUGUUGUUGGCUACUGCUUUGGCUAGCUCAUCUGCCUCGCAGUUCUCAGCUCUUGGAAUGUAUUGUAGAGUAAAUCCCUUGAACCUUCUCUCCAGCCCUCUUACCACAGCCAAAUAUCUUGCUAACUCGGAGUUGUGUGUUAAGUACUCCUUCUCCACUUGUCCUGCCACCACCUGGGACCCUAUUUUGAUGAGCAGGGUUUUUGCUCCCAAAGCUUUUGCUUUGUUCAGCCCGAGGAUGAGUCCUUCAUACUCAGCUAUGUUGUUCGUUGCUCUGAAUUUGAGUCUCGUGGCAUAUUUUAGCUUGAGUCCUGUUGGUGCGAUCAGAACCAUUGCCGCUCCGGCCCCUAAUUGCCCCCAGGCGCCAUCUAUAUAUAGUGUCCACGGCUGGUCGACUACCUUCUUCUCUUCUUUGUUCGAAGGUGUCCAAUCUGCCAUGAAGUCAACCAGCGCCUGUGACUUGAUUUAGGUUCUUGGGAUAUAGGUGAUGUCAAACUACGAUAGCUCAGCUGCCCAUUUCCCUAUACGCCCAGAGGCCUCCUUGUUCUUAAGGAUGUCACCUAAAGGCUGCGAUGUGGGUACUUUGAUCUCAUGAAUUUGAAAGUAAUGCUUGAGCUUCCUCGAUGCAGAUAGGACUGCGUAUGCCAUUUUUUCUAUUUCUGUGUAGUUCAACUUUGCUCCUGACAAAGCUUCGGACACAUAGUACACGGGCCUUUGCACCGCUCCCCUGUGGUCACUUGUUUCGUGCACCAAGACAGCACUGACCGCGUGUUUGGAGGCGGCCAUGUAUAAUAGUAAAGGAGUGUCUGGCUCGGGCACAGUUACUACCAGAUUGGUUGCAAUAUAGCUCUUGAGUUGUCUGAAGGCUUCCGACUACUCCGGACCCCACUCUAUUUUAUCUCCUCCCCUUAGCACUUUGAAGAAUGGGAGGCUUCGCUCUGCUGACCUGGAAAUGAACCUGUUGAGUGCUGCUAUUCUGCCAGUUAGUUUUUGCACCUCCUUCUUGCUUGAAGGUUCUGCCAUCGACAUGAUUGCCUUUGUUUUAUCUGGGUUGGCUCUGAUUCCUUCGGAGCUGACAAUAUACCCCAGCAUUUUUCCCUUGCUGACCCCGAAUACACAUUUUUCUAGAUUCGCUUGAGUUUGGCAGACCUGAGGUUAGUGAAGGUUUCCUGCAGGUCUCUGAUGUAAUCCUCCUUGUUUCUGCUCAUGACGACAACGUCAUCGACGUACGCUAUAAUGUUUCUCUGCAGCUGGCUGCCGAGAACCUUCUUCAUCAUUCUAGAGAAGGUUGCCCCGGCAUUCUUUAGACCUUCAGGCAUUCUGGUAUAGCAAUAUGUCCUGAACAGAGUUGUGAAACUUGUCUUGCCCUCAUCUUCUUUCUUGAGCCAGAUUUGGUGAUAUCCCAAGAAGCAAUCUAGCAGUGAGAAUCUCUGGCAGCCGGCAGCUUUGUCGACAGAGGCAUCUAUCCUUGGCAAGGGGAAGGAGUCCUUGACACAAGUGUUGACGGUCCUUAAGUAUCAAAUUUAAUUAUCAAAUAAAUAAACAAAAGGAUCCAAAUGAAAUCAAGAUUUAGACUUAGGGUUUUAUCUGACAGAAUUCCACGAGUUUUGGUGUUUGUCUAUUUCUGCAGGGGGUUAUCAGGAAAUAUGGAAGAAAGGCCCACAUGUCAGGAUUACGUAAAGAUAUUAACGUGCCGUGCAAUUAUCUUACAUCUAGAAGACUCCAGAAGCCACGAGACCGAAGCGGAGGCAAAACGGGGCCUGACCCUGGGCGGCCGCCCAGUUGGCCAGGGCGCCCGCCCUGCCCCGGAGUCCAAUCAGGACUCUGCUUUGCGGGAGAUCUCCACCGACCUAAAGGAUGAAUCUAAACCAUACAAUCUAUGUCGGUUUGAUCCAAGGGCCCAUAUUCACUUGAAGGGACUAUAAAACCAGACCCCCUGGCCCCUGGAGGAGAGAGCCUCUCAACCCUAAUUCAUUGUUCCAUCAAGGGAGAAGAAGCCUCUGAUCAAGAUUAGAGCCACCACAUCAAUUAGACAUCUAGAUUAGCAUAGCUACAUAGGAUUAGAACUAGAAGGAGUCAAUCUUCGAUUGGUUUCCGGAUCUGUCAAGAGGAUUCUUGGUAAUUCUCUAAUUGUGCUUCUAAUUGCUUUCUAAUUAUCUUUGUUCUUCAAUAUUAUGAAUAUGACUUUGUUCUACUUCAAUAUAUUGCUUAUGACUUUGCUCUACUUGCUUAUAUUCAAGAUUAUAUUGUUCUUAGUUUAUCAUAGUUAUGUACUUGGCUUAGUUAGAUUCGAUCUAUAUACAUGCUUAGGAUCGUAUAGCGUUUAUCCAUCGGAUCCAUGGGUAAAUGAUAGAUAUUGUGUAGGCGUGGUGCUUAUACCGUAUUUAUCUGCGAUUGUACCCAAUAUGCCAGAUCGUGGGGUGGUUCGUGAUAGUGACAGCUUCAUUGAUUCUUAUAUAGUCCCCCUCUCGUGUAUUGGGCUUGCAGAGCAACAUUAUUACAGGGGAGUGAUUGCUAUGUUUCUCAUAUUCCUUGCUAAUAUCACUAUGCAUGGGCGUAGUCUUGUCUCGCAAUGAUUGCUAAGUAUGCUUGCACUAACUAUGAUAAUGCUAGACUAUAUAGUUAAGAAUAACUUAGGGAAUAUUCUUGUAGUUCGUUCUAAUACCAUGCUAAUGACUUUCUAGAGUAUCUAAUUGAGGUGCUUAUCAUAGUUAUUAUGUGGCUAGAUCAGAUUAGUUAUCCUUGUCACUAUUAUUAUUUCAUAUAUCUUUUAUGUAACACUUAUCCCUGUAUGAUGAGUUAGAUAUAAUGUUCUCAAUUAUACAUGCAAUGAUAGAUGCUCAAUCUCAUAUUCUAUUCUGUAAUCAAUAAUGAUGAUUGCUAUUCCCUUCUCAGUGGUAAAAAUAUAAAUAACGAUACCUGGAAUACUUCCCGGUUAAAAUGCUGCAUCGGUAUUAAUCUGUGCGCUUGCAGAUCCCAUUCAUUAUUUAUUUAGAAGAGCAAUUGCAUAUUUCAAUACCGCGUCUCUCAUGUCAUGCUGGGGAUGACAACUUGGCUUAAGUGGUGUGAGGGAUAGGUUUGGCAUUUUUGGCACCGUUACUAGAUUUAGAGAACUUAGUCUACUUUUGGUAAUAAUGUUAAGAAUACCCAACAAGCAUUUUUGGCGCCGUUGCCGGGGAAGGUUGAUUACUAAUCAAGAAUGGAAUAAAAGAUUUCGAGUUAUCAUUCGCAUCACUAAUAUGAUUGAGCUUAUCUAUUCUCUCAUACAGUUUUACCCCGAUAUUUUCCUAUUUCAUCUUGUGCAGGGGAAUGUAUGAAUAGAAGACAUCUUCCAGGAAAUUUUGUUGACAAUCCCGAAGCAUUAUUCAAGAAGACGAGAGCCAAGCUAUAGAAAUCAUCAACACUUCACGAAGAAGCUUCAUCCAAUCAAGAAGACCACCGGAACUUGUCUUCAGAGUUCGAAGCCAUGGCGAACAAAUCAAUCCGCGAGUUCUCAGCUCCCACUACGGACAACAUCCACACUGGACCUGCUGCAGAGAUCGAUGGCAAUUUUGAGCUCAAGCCUGGACUUAUCAACAUGGUGCAAUCCAACCAGUUCUAUGGGAAGGCACACGAAGAUGCUAGUGCUCAUUUACAACACUUCCUGGAGAUUUGCAACACAUUCACCAUAGCAGAAGUUUCCAAAGACGCUAUACUACUUCGCCUCUUCCCAUUCUCACUGUUAGGAAGAGCGAAGCACUGGUUCUACACUACAAAGGAGAAGAAUACUACGUGGGCACUCUGCUCAACAAACUUCCUGGCAAAAUUCUUUCCCAUGGGCAAGACCAAUGCUCUACGUGGGAAGAUUACAAGUUUUCAGCAACAAAAUGAUGAAUCUGUUCCAGAAGCAUGGGAGCGCUUUCAAGACUACAUCCUAGAAUGUCCCCAUCAUGGAAUGGAGAGUUGGCUAUUGAUGCAGACAUUCUAUCAUGGGCUCAGCAACAGUGCCCGAGAGACUAUGGAUGCUGCAGCUGGAGGAGCAUUCUUAUCACUUACUAUACCACAAGCCAUAGCUCUUGUGGAGAAGAUGGCGUCCAAUCAAAGCUGGAAUGAAGAGAGGACCCAGACACGCAAGAGAGGUGGAGGCAUGCAUCAGCUGAAGGAGGUAGACAUGCUGUCUGCAAAGCUAGACCUGCUUAUGAAGAAGCUCGAUGAUAGAGCUGGAGACAAGAAAGAAGUUAUGCACAUCUACGACUCUCACAUGACUUGUGAGGAGUGUGGAGACACUGGACACUCAGGCAACCACUGCCCUGAGAUGCUUGAGGAUGUGAACUACAUCAUCAACAACAACAACUACUACUACAAUCGUCCUCAACCAAAUCAAGGUUGGAAUCAACAGAGGCCUAACUACUCAGGUAAUUAUCAAGGUAACAAUUCUUACAACAACAAUAAUAAUUUUCCAGCUUUGAGAGAGUUAGUGUCUAAUCAAGGAAAGCUAAUGGAUAAUCUAUCUAAGAAAUUGGCAUCUAAUGAUAAAAUGCUAGAAAAUAUAAAUAAUAGAAUGGAUAAUUUUUCUACUGCCAUCAAGAAUCAAAUUAGCUUUAAUAAAAUGAUUGAAUCUCAGUUAAAUCAAAUAGCUGCUGCUGUUCCUACUACUAACCCCGGUAUACCAUCACAACCGGAAGGAUUAGAAUCUGCAAAUCUUGUAGACAUGUUUGAUGCAGGUAAUUGGAGUAACCUCGUCACUGAAUUUUCUACUGACCGUCUGCCGGUCAAGAGAGGCGAUCCAGGACGCCCCGUCAUCCCGAUCUCCAUCGGCAUGGUGGACUUCCCAGUAGCACUCUGCGACUUUGGCUCUAGCGUCAACAUUAUACCCAGGGUACUCUAUGAGAAAUUCUUUACAUAUCCUUUAUUAGAAACAACCAUGUGUUUGCAGUUUGCAGAUCAGACGAUAACUUUUCCAAAAGGAAUAGUGAGGAACCUUUGUGUCCGAGUUGGUACCUUGUAUGCCCCAGCAGACUUCGUAGUGGUAGAGACCGGGAAUGAUGAGAGAGCACCUAUCAUCCUAGGGAGGCCAUUCUUGAACACCACGGGAGCUAUCAUCUACGCUAGUGCUGCCAAGAUCAGUUUCUACGUCAAAGGGGAGAAGGAGACAUUUUUCUUCAAGAACAAGACUACACAAAUUCAAGAUCAAUCCAGACGUAAAUCAAGGAAGAGGACCAACAGGAGAAACAGGAACAAGCAAGUAUGGACCGAGUCAGCUAAGAUGGUCACUGUAGUCCAUGGGGCCAAGAUCAUCAACUUAAGUCACCGUUUUUGACCAAGAAGGACGACCCAGGAAUGCCAAGCAUUUACUGCUCCAUAAAUGGAUACAACUUCUACAAGACGAUUUGCGACACCGGAUCGGGCAUUAACAUAAUGGCCGCAGUCACCUAUCGGCUCUUGUUCGGGACCAUGCCACUAAGACCAACAUACAUUCAGCUUCAGAUGGCAGAUCAGACAUUUCGAGAAGUCAAAGGAAUAGUAUCUGAUGUCCCAGUCAAAAUAGACGAUCACUUUGUCUACACAGACUUUUAACUUGUUGACAUGGGAGAAGACGAGUACGAUCCACCCAUCAUCCUUGAAAGACCGUUCCUCAGCACCGUUAAAGCAAUUAUCUACAUUGGAACCGGAGAAGUCCAUAUGCACUUCCCCUCAGAGAAGGUACGCCGUUAUUUUACUGAUCCUAACUAUAUUAUUGAAGAAUCUAAGCAGGUCAGAAAGAGACGCAACCGCAACCAAAGGAGGCAGAUCAUCAAGGACGGAUGGGCAGACUAUGAAGGAGAAGUUGUAAGGUCAGAAGACGUUGAGUUUAAACAGAAUUAUCCAGAGGAGAUUGAAGCACCAAGCCAGGUGUGGAAAAUAAAGAUAACUAUACAAGAAGAGGAGGCGCUGCCGGAAGUACCGACUACGCCACCCAACGAACCUCAGGACGAUUAAGAAAAUGGAGAGUCCCGUUCGGAGGACUUAAAAACACCGAACGCCUUGCCAAGAGGUAAACUUGGUAGUUAUCCUUUCCCUUUUAAUUAUUUCAAAUAGUUACUUAGUUAAUUAAGUUCGUGCUAUCUUAAAAAGAAAAUAAAAAAAAUGUGAAAAACAAUAAGCCUCAUGUGAGUAGACGAGUGGCAUAAAACCCAUAAGUACAUUCACUGUGGUGGCAUAAAAAUAAAAUAAAAAUUUUUCUGCUUUAUAAAAUAAAAAUAUAAAAACAGGGAGUAAUAUUUAUUAAGGAGUCUCAAGAUAAUAAAGGCUAGAUAUUUACGCUAACACUUAAUCAGUUCCACAAGCUUUGUUGUCUAUUUGAGCUCCACAGAAUUUAAGAAUCAAGAAGACUAGCAGACGGAAGACAUUCUAAUCGCUGUCAGAAUGCUACUGACUUUUAAAUACACCUUUGCCACCUGCUAGCUACAUCAAGAGAAAUUACGUCAAAAUUCAGCUUGGGGGAGAGCACCCCCAUUUAUCUCGAUAAGUAUUUCUAUCUAUCUUUAUACUUAUAUUAUUUUAGAAUAUUAAAAUACACAUAAACUAUGGAAAACCAAAUAAAUAUUUUAUGCUUAUAUAUAUAUAUGUCUUUUGCUUAGUGUGUUUAAUAAAUAAAUAAAGUGGCUAUGCUAAUCUGUAUCUAAAUAAAACUUAAGCAUGGAUAUGAUAAAUAGUUGCUCUGCCUAAUUUGCAAAUUUUAAAGUUCUCUCUCAAGUUUAGAUAUAACUGUUAUAAUUUAAAGCUUGCCCUAGACUUAAACUUGUGGGAUGAAAACUUGAUCUGUAGUCUAAGUUGUUAACGGAUAUGAUAUGGAAAGGUUGAGCUGCUGUUUAUCUGUUCCUAGAGAUGCUAGAAUUCUGGAGAAUUUUAUCUUUGAAAAUCUUUAAAAUGUUGCAUGAUGAGUUCCUGUAUGAUGAGAGUUUAAAUUCCUACCACAGCCAUAUAUACAUGCUUGCUAGACUUUGAGCCACACAUUUAUUAUUUACUACUUAUGAGCAUUGAGUGUGGUCAAGCUGUGUAGACCCUUAGGAGCUUGUCAUGUGGUUAAAUCAAGAUUUCACUUGCACGUUCACUCAUAUAUGCUACUUCUACUCCGGAAGUACCAUCCACAUAUAUCCACCCAUUCCAUCUCCAGAACCAACCAAAAAUAUUCUACUCCUAAUCCAGGAGAGAAUAACCAAAAAUAUUUCUAUUUUCCCCUUGUGAAAUAAAUGCUCAAGUUAUCUUGUUACUACCACUUGCUAUAUUAUCUCAAGAGAUGAAUGCUCUGAAAAAAAAGAGAGAUACAAGGAAAUAAAAAAGGAGCAAGUGCUCGGAACCUCGAAAGAAAAGAAAAAAAAGUGAGACGAGAGGUAAAAAUGGACAAGUGUCCGACAGUAGAAUUAAGGGUACAAUAUACCCACCUGAGAGGAAAGAAAAAGAAGAGCAUCUCAUUCUCAUCAUAAAGUUUCAAAAGCAAGAAAGGUAUGUAUCCCCUCAAAGAGCAAAGUAGAAUUAGACUUCCACCACCAUUGUUUCCACCAUUGUUAUCGCCAUCAUCACCAUACAUCAUUCAUUCGCCACACAUGCACAUCUUGAUUUGGCUUAUUGAUUUGUUUCUUUGGAUCCAUGGUUUGACUAUGCAAUAAAUGUCUUAUAAGUAUGUAUACAUUAUCUCCCACCUAUGAACUCUAGAUAUUAAAGCCUUAUUAGAGUAGGGUGAGAGAGAAGGCAAUGUCACUAUGCCUCAUACCACAAAUACCACAUAUCUUGAGAGAAGGCAUAUACCGUCACUGCUUUGGUAAGGAUCCAAAAAUACCACAAAAGAGAGAUAUGAAGGAAUCAUACAAGGAAUCUCUGAGUUUUAUUUCAAAAUCUACAAAAACUCUAGAGCUAUAGCUGAUCAAGAAUAAGAGACAUGGCACUUGGCUAGACUGUUCUAUCUUUUAACCACUCAAGACAGAAGUGACGGUUACAAGUCCCAUGGUGAAGGUAAAGUAAGUAAGUUUUAAGUCUUGACAGUUUACUCUAACUCAGAAAUGAGAUCUUAUUUAAAAGCAUGUGUACCGUCAAAUUUUUAAAGAUAUUACAACUACUUAUGAUCCAUAGCUGAGUUUAUCCUUGCUCAGGGACGAGCAAGAGGUAAGCUUGAGGGAGUUUGUUGACGGUCCUUAAGUAUCAAAUUUAAUUAUCAAAUAAAUAAAGAAAAGGAUCCAAAUGAAAUCAAGAUUUAGACUUAGGGUUUUAUCUGACAGAAUUCCACGAGUUUUGGUGUUUGUCUAUUUCUGCAGGGGGUUUUCAGGAAAUAUGGAAGAAAGGCCCACAUGUCGGGAUUACGUAAAGAUAUUAACGUGUCGUGCAAUUAUCUUACAUCUAGAAGACUCCAGAAGCCACGAGACCGAAGCGGAGGCGAAACGGGGCCUGACCCUGGGCGGUAGCCCAGUUGGCCAGGGCGCCCGCCCUGCCCCUGAGUCCAAUCAGGACUCUGCUUUGCGGGAGAUCUCCACCGACCUAAAGCAUGAAUCUAAACCAUACAAUCUAUGUCGGUUUGAUCCAAGGGCCCAUAUUCACUUGAAGGGACUAUAAAACCAGACCCCCUGGCCCCUGGAGGAGAGAGCCUCUCAACCCUAAUUCAUUGUUCCAUCAAGGGAGAAGAAGCCUCUGAUCAAGAUUAGAGCCACCACAUCAAUUAGACAUCUAGAUUAGCAUAGCUACAUAGGAUUAGAACUAGAAGGAGUCAAUCUUCGAUUGGUUUCCGGAUCUGUCAAGAGGAUUCUUGGUAAUUCUCUAAUUGUGCUUCUAAUUGCUUUCUAAUUAUCUUUGUUCUUCAAUAUUAUGAAUAUGACUUUGUUCUACUUCAAUAUAUUGCUUAUGACUUUGCUCUACUUGCUUAUAUUCAAGAUUAUAUUGUUCUUAGUUUAUCAUAGUUAUGUACUUGGCUUAGUUAGAUUCGAUCUAUAUACAUGCUUAGGAUCGUAUAGUGUUUAUCCAUCGGAUCCUUGGGUAAAUGAUAGAUAUUGUGUAGGCGUGGUGCUUAUACCGUAUUUAUCUCCGAUUGUACCCAAUAUGCCAGAUCGUGGGGUGGUUCGUGAUAGUGACAGCUUCAUUGAUUCUUAUAUAGUCCCCCUCUCGUGUAUUGGGCUGGCAGAGCAACAUUAUUACAGGGGAGUGAUUGCUAUGUUUCCCAUAUUCCUUGCUAAUAUCACUAUGCAUGGGCGUAGUCUUGUCUCGCAAUGAUUGCUAUGUAUGCUUGCACUAACUAUGAUAAUGCUAGACUAUAUAGUUAAGAAUAACUUAGGGAAUAUUCUUGUAGUUCGUUCUAAUACCAUGCUAAUGACUUUCUAGAGUAUCUAAUUGAGGUGCUUAUCAUAGUUAUUAUGUGGCUAGAUCAGAUUAGUUAUCCUUGUCACUAUUAUUAUUUCAUAUAUCUUUUAUGUAACACUUAUCCCUGUAUGAUGAGUUAGAUAUAAUGUUCUCAAUUAUACAUGCAAUGAUAGAUGCUCAAUCUCAUAUUCUAUUCUGUAAUCAAUAAUGAUGAUUGCUAAUCCCUUCCCAGUGGUAAAAAUAUAAAUAACGAUACCUGGAAUACUUCUCGGUUAAAAUGCUGCAUCGGUAUUAAUCUGUGCGCUUGCAGAUCCCAUUCAUUAUUUAUUUAGAAGAGCAAUUGCAUAUUUCAAUACCGCGUCUCUCAUGUCAUGCUGGGGAUGACAACUUGGCUUAAGUGGUGUGAGGGAUAAGUUUGGCAUUUUUGGCACCGUUACUAGAUUUAGAGAACUUAGUCUACUUUUGGUAAUGAUGUUAAGAAUACCCAACAACAAGCCUUGUUGAGGUCUAUGAAAUCUAUACACAUUCUCAUUUUGCCAUUCUUCUUGGGGACCAAGACUACAUUUGCCAGCCAUUCGGGGUACAUAAUUUCUUUGAUGACAUUUGCGUCUAGAAGUCUUUGUACCUCCGCCUUGGCUGCUAAGGUUCUCUCCUCAGACAUCUUCCUCUGUCUUUGCUUCUUUGGCCUCAUAUUUGGGUCGAUGUCCAGUGAAUGUUGUAUAAUAUCUCUGCUGACUCCCUAUAGGUUAGAGGCAUUCCAACUCGAGCUCCUCCUCUCUGCUAAGAGUGGAGGCUAUGGUGACUUUCCUGUCCGGUGCAGCCUCGUACAGAGGGACACAUUUUGUUUCCUCCUGAUCAGCCAGGUCUGUUUUCCCCCUUGGCAUGUCUGGUGGUUGGCAAACUUCUUCUUGCGUGGAGUCCAUGGAGUUUAUGUUCCGGAAAGACUUGUAGAUUGCUUUCUCUAUGUUUCUCGCUUCUUUCUGACUUCCGUGAACAGUGAUCACCCCGUGCAAAGCCAGGAUUUUCAUGCACAGGUACCCCAUGUGAGCAGCCGCAUUGAAUCUAUUCAAGAACCCCACCAGAAUAUGGCGUUAUAUGGGUAGUGCAGGUCUACCACAUGAAAGGUAAUAUACUCUGUCCUCCCAUUUUCCGCUAUGCCGAAGGAUACUGGUAGGGCUACCUUGCCCAGAGCGUGUAUCUGCUUUCCUCCGAAAACAAUCAAAGGCGAUUCCGAAGGUUGGAGCUGGCUUCUGCUGAGCUUCAUUUGGUCGAAGGUCCUGGCGAAUAUUAUGUCUGCAGAACUUCCCAAGUCUAUCAAGAUCCUGCUGAUCCCCCAUCCAGCAACGUUUGCUGUUAUGACCAUUGCGUCUGCAUGCGAGUAGCUUUCCAACCUUAGGUCUUCUUCGGAGAAGGUUAUUAGAGUUAUGGACCAAUUGGUGCAGCAGACUGGGCCUUGCGCUGCAAUGUUGUUGACCAGACGAAGGUGAUCCUUCUUCUGCUUCUUGGUCUAGAACUCCAUUGAGGACCCUCCAACUAUUGGCAAGAUCAUUCCAAUCGUAGGCAGCGAUGUAUGGGGGCCGAUCUGAUUGUCGGGGUGAGGUUCUGGUUUUGGUGGAGGUGGAGCUCGGAUUAACUGAAGUUGGUUUGGUGGAGGGGGUAGUGAUUGCUGGUGGGGCUGCAUGGCUUCGAUGUAUGUGAUUUGCGGGGGUCGGGGGGCACAUAGGUAGGUUGUAGGCCUUGCUCUGUAGGUUGGUGCGCUUGGCACCAAGCCGGUAGGAAACUAGGAUAGUAAGCGAAAGCUAAUGCGGCGGGAUGGAUUGGAGCUAGGUGCUGCUGGCUUGAUCCUCCGCCGUAGGAAUGGUAGAAGGAUUGUGGGAAUGUGUGAUUCACUUCCAUCGGUUGAAUGAUCGACGGUGGAGGCUGCGGUGCCGACCUGUUCUUGAUUCUCUCCUGGGUCUCUUUGGCGUCUGGGCAAUCCCUAGUCGAAUGACCUUUCUUCUCCCCAUGAAAGAAAUAGUAUUGCUUUCGUUGCCGCUACUUCUGAUUCUUUUGCCACCCUCUGUUGUGACCUCCUCCUCCGGCUUGGUUAAAUCCGCAUUUUGAGUUUCGCGGUUCCGAUGGUGGGUUGUUUUGCCCCGACUUGUCGUUCCUCGGUUGCUUAAUAUUCAUCAUCUGCCCACUAGCUUCCUGCUGAGGACGACGCCCAUCUUGGCUAAGGUUCUUCUUCUGCGAGUUUCUAUCAUUGACCUGCUUUUUCUGAGAGUCUUGCUCCUCUAGCCUUUUGCGGAAGUCAUUGUCCGACUUGCAAUACUUCUCGAAUUCAUGGUACAGCUCAUGCAUGGAUGCCGGCUUUUCCCUGGCCAAAUGAGCCUCAAAGGGCCCUAUGCGAAGGCCUUUGAUGGCCACCUCUAUAGCGACCUCCUCCGACACGCCGGGUGCUCUUGCCUUGGUCUGCACGAACCUUUGAAAGUAGUCCCGCAGUGCUUCUCCCUGACUCUGCCGGCACUGGAACAGGUCUGUGGAGGUCAAUGAUUUAGCUGCAAAUCCUUGGAAGUUUGCCAGAAUCUUGUCUCAGAGGUUCUCCCAUGAAUAGAUCGACCCAGGCCUAAGCAUUGAGUACCACGCCAAGGCAUCUCCUUCGGCUGCGAUCACAAAGGAUUUUGCCAUGACAGUUUAGUUUCCUCUUGCUGAGGAUAUUGCUGCCUCAAAACUCAUUAGGAACUGAUGAGGGUCUGUCUUUCCAUUGAACUUGGGGAGGGUGAUUGGCUUGUAGGUAGCCAGCCAGGGUGAGGUCUGCAUUCCUUCAGACAGAGGGGAACGUAGGUCCAGAGUACUCCGUAGUGUGCCACUGUAGUUUACCAGUUGCACAUUCACCGUCGGACCGACAUUGGGUAAAACCGUGGGCUGGACCGUCGGUUGCGGUGAAGGUUGCAUGCUCAGGAUCUCCGCUUGCAAGAUUGAAAGCUGCUGCCAGCGCUGCCUCCUGGCUGGCCGCGUAGGCGGCAGCGAUCCGGUCUCGCUCUUGCUGAAGGUUUUGCAGCUGCGCUUGCAGUAGUUGAAGCUCUUGAGCGGCAGUGGGUUCUGCUGGCUCCGCAACGGGAGGGGCCUAGCCAGCCUACGGCUGCACAUCUUCAGGACCCUCCUGUUCUACGGUUGCGUAUGCACUUCGCACGGCCCUCCUCGGCCUUCCCCUCCUGGAGGACUCAGCUUGUGGUCUUGUGGUGCUCGAUCUCUUUUCAGCCAUCGCAGGUGAUCCUUCGAGGCCCCACGGUGGGCGCCAAUGUUGGGAAAAUGUGCACUGCACUCCCCGGUGACACAAUGUACAGAGAACCUUCUCACACGAUGCAGUGAGAGACUCAAUCAGCAGCGAAUAGUGGGGUGAACAGUGGGUGGAAACAGUAAAUGCUCUCUCUCCCUUGUUAACGGUGGCUUCACUCCCUUUAUAUAGGGCUCGGAAACCAACCUAAGGUAGUUACAAGAAUGCCCCGUGACGGUGGGGGAAUAUCCCAGCACAUUCCUAUGUUACAGUCUACUGGCCCUGAGCCAUUUAUGUAAUUUCACACUACGAGCUUCUCGCGCGCUCCUCGUCCAGGUCUUCAGCUCGUUGAAGGUUCGAAUCCUCAAUCUGGGCACCGAAACUUCGAUGCUUCUACGCCGAAGGUCCUUUGGCACGGCCUAGCCAGAGGUUCCCUGACGUAGGCACUCCGAGGGCUCGCCGGCCCCGCUGCGUCCUCCAGCAUUCCUUUGGCCAUCCUUCGCCGCGGGAGGAUUCAAAGGUUCAUUCCUUCUCCGCUCGCGACCUCCGCCUUCGGCCAUCCUUCAUCGCGUGAGGAUUCGAAGGUUCAUUCCUUCUCCGCUCGUGACCUCCGCCUUUAUCUUGGUUCCUGCAUUUGCUCAGUACCACAAGAGAUGCAUCAACAUUACGCUUGCCUCGAACCUCCGCACUAUUUCGUAUGAAGGUUCUUGGAGUGGAGGAGAUCCUUAGAAGCGACCAGGGGGAAGGAAGCGACCAGCCCCCUGUUGGGUAUUCUUAACAUCACUACCAAAAGUAGACAAUUCCUAAUUCUAGUAACGGUGCCAAAAAUGCCAAACCUAUCCCUCAUACAACUUAAGCCAAGUUGUCAUCCCCAGCAUGACAUGAGAGACGCGGUAUUGAAAUAUGCAAUUGCUCUUCUAAAUAAAUAAUGAAUGGGAUCUGCAAUCGCACAGAUUAAUACCGAUGUAGCAUUUUAACCGGGAAGUAUUCCAGGUAUCGUUAUUUAUAUUUUUACCAUUGGGAAGGGAUUAGCAAUCAUCAAUAGUGAUUACAGAAUAGAAUAUGAGAUUGAGUAUCUAUCAUUGCAUAUGUAAUUGAGAACAAUUAUCUAACUCUUUCAUACAGGGAUAAGUGUCACAUAAAAGAUAUAUGAAAUAAUAAAUAGUGACAAAGAUAAUUAAUCUGACCAUAACUAGCCACAUAAUAAAUAUGAUAAGCACCUCAAUUAGAUACUCUAGAAAGUCAUUAGCAUGGAAUUAGAACGAACUACAAGAAUAUUUCCUAAGUUAUUCUCAACUAUAUAGUCUAGCAUUAUCAUAGUUAGUGCAAGCAUACUUAGCAAUCAUUGUGAGACAAGACUACGCCCAUGCAUAGUGAUAUUAGCAAGGAAUAUGAGAAACAUAGCAAUCACUCUCCUGUAAUAAUAUUGCUCUGCCAGCCCAAUACACGAGAGGGGGACUAUAUAAGAAUCAAUAAAGCUAUCACUAUCACGAACUACCCCACGAUCUGGCAUAUUGGGUACAAUCGCAGAUAAAUACGGUAUAAGCACCACGCCUACACAAUAUUUAUCAUUUACCCAUGGAUCCGAUGGAUAAACGCUAUACGAUCCUAAGCAUGUAUAUAGAUCCAAUCUAACUAAGCCAAGUACAUAACUACGAUAUACUAAGAACAAUAUAAUCUUGAAUAUAAGCAAAUAGAGCAAAGUCAUAAGCAAUAUAUUGAAGUAGAACAAAGUCAUAUUCAUAAUAUUGAAGAACAAAGAUAAUUAGAAAGCAAUUAGAAGCACAAUUAGAGAAUUACCAAGAAUCCUCUUGACAGAUCCGGAAACCAAUCGAAGAUUGACUCCUUCUAGUUCUAAUCCUAUGUAGCUAUGCUAAUCUAGAUAUCUAAUUGAUGUGGUGGCUCUAAUCUUGAUCAGAGGCUUCUUCUCCCUUGAGGAAUAAUGAAUUAGGGUUGAGAGGCUCUCUCCUCCAGGGGCCAGGGGGUCUGGUUUUAUAGUCCCUUCAAGUGAAUAUGGGCCGUUGGAUCAAACCGACAUAGAUUGUAUGGUUUAGAUUCAUCCUUUAGGUCGGUGGAGAUCUCCCACGAAGCAGAGUCCUGAUUGGACUCAAGGAGGGGGCGGGCGCCCAGGGGAACAGGGCGGGCGCCCUGCCUCUGGCCCCGUUUCGUCUCCGCUUCGGUCUCGUGGCUUCUGGAAUCUUCUAGAUGUAAGAUAAUUGCGCGGCUUGUUAAUAUCUCUAUGUAAUCCCAACGUGUGGGCCUUUCUUCCGUAUUUCCUGAUAACCCCCUGCAGAAAUAGACAAACACCAAAACUCGUGGAAUUCUGUCAGAUAAAACCCUAAGUCUAGAUGUUGAUUUCAUUUGGAUCCUUUUCUUUGUUUAUUUGAUAAUUAAAUGUGAUACUUAAGGACCGUCAACAAACUCCCCCAAGCUUACCUCUUGCUCGUCCCUGAGCAAGGAUAGACUCAGCUAUGGAUCAGAAGUUGUUGCAAUAUCUUUUUAAAAAAAUUGACGGUACACAUGCUUUUUAAAUAAGAUCUCAUCUUUGAGUUAGAGUAAACUGUCAAGACUUAAAACUUACUUACUUUACCUUCACCAUGGGACUUGUAACCGUCACUUCUGUCUUGAGUAGUUAAAAGAUAGAACAGUCUAGCCAAGUGCCAUGUCUCUUAUUCUUGAUCAGCUAUAGCUCUAAAGUUUUUGCAGAUUUUCAAAUAAAACUCAGAGAUUUCUUGUAUGAUUCUCUCAAAUCUCUCUUUUGUGGUAUUUCUGGAUCCUUACCAAGGCAGUGAUGGUAUAUGCCUUCUCUCAAGAUAUGUAGUAUUUGUGGUAUGAAGCAUAGUGACAUUAUCUUAUCUCUCACCCUACUCUAAUAAGGCUUUAAUAUCUGGAGCUCAUAGGUGGGAGAUAAAAUAUACAUACUUACAAGGCAUUUAUUGUAUAGUCAAACCAUGGAUCCAAAGAAACAAGUCAAUAAGUUUAAUCAAGAUGUGCAUGUGUGGCGAAUGAAUGGUGUAUGGUGAUGAUGGUGAAAGUCUAAUUCUACUUUUGUUCUUUUGAGGGGAUACAUACCUUCCUUGCUUUGUGAAACUUUAUGAGGAGAAUUAGGGGUAUCUUGUACCCCUAAUUCUACUGUCGGACACUUGUCUAUUUUU